rnacentral:lncRNA from 1 species
UUUUUUUUUUUUUUUUUUUUGCCUAACCGAUGAUGCUCAAUAGGUAUUAAUUAACACACCCCUGUAUUCCACCAACUCGUCGUCAUGUAUAUACAUUACACCUACUAUAUAUAUAUAUAUAUAUAUAUAUAUAUAUAUAUAUAUAUACUCCCUCCGUCCCAUUUUGAUAGUUUUAUUUUCCUUUUUCAUCUGUCCCAAAUUGUAGUCCACUUACUCAUUAAGAAAUAUAGUAAUCUUUCAAAUUAUCUAAAAUACCCUUAUUAAACAUCUUGUUAUUAAUAUAUUGUUAUUAAAUACUAACCCACUACAUUGAACUUUUCCAAUACUAACCCAUUAGAUGUAACUGAUAUUAAUUGGCACUCUUCGUGAUUAGCAUAAGGAUAUUUUAGGAAAUUAUUAAUCUAAAUUUAUGUUUCCAACCAAAUUAAUUACACUUUCUUAAUCUGUGUGAAAAAAAAAACCAAAACUAACAAAACGGGAUGGAUGGAGUAUAUGAAAAAUGAGAUAUACAAUUAUUAACCAAGGCAUUUAUCACACGGUUUAUCAAUUUGUACCAAACUCAUGUAGCUAGGACUUAAUUAUUUUCUCAAUCUUUAUUUUUUUAUUAAAAUAAUAGUACACAACAUACUAUAUGCAUGUGCGCACACACACACAUCCCAAAUCGAUGCCUUUUACACUCGCCGAUAAAAUUUUUAGAAAAUUCUGAAGAUAAAAUGCAAGUUAAUAAAUCAAAUCCCUUGAUCUGCUGCAAUCCAAAAAGAGCCUGGUUGGCCAAGUACUCUGAAGGUAGUCGGUCACCUUACGCUGCACAUAUAUGUUCAAAGGGGUUUGUUCGUCCUUUAUCCAACUCGUCAAUUUGUGAUGUGGGUACCCACUAGCUGCGUGCAAAGAUGGCGAACAAAAUUGUCAUGCAAAAACCACAACUACUUUACAGUUUUGAGUUAUGAUUCAGUAAAAUAAUCGUGACGUUUGAUCCAAUUUUCAAACUUAAUGGUAGUGUGUAAUGUAUUUUGCAUAAUCCUGGGGGGCACUAUAACUGCGUGGAAACUGAGUGCAUAUCAGACACCUUUCUGAUAGAAGAUAACUGGUCGGGGUGACCAUGCGAUUGGCAUUUGGGGGAAUAUGAUAAUUCCGAGAAUAAACCAUAAUUGCCACGUAGGAGUAAUAUACUCCCCCCGUCUCACUUUGAUACUUUGAUAGUUCUGUUUCUUUUUUCACACAGUUUAAAAAAAAAGUAAUUAAUUUUGUUGGAACAAUCAAUUUAGGUAGCUAUUUUUUUAAAAUACCCUCACAUUAAUUAGAGUACAACUUUAUGGGAACUUGAAUUGAUGGUAAAAAAAGAAUCAACGCUCAUUAAAUGGGGUAGGUUUAUAGUAACAACAACUCAUAUUGAAUAAGGGUAUUUUAGAAAAAUUAAAAUACAACUAGAUUAUUCAAUUGAAAAGUGAAUUAUAAUUUGGGACAGACGAAAAGGGAAAACAGGACUAUUAAAGUGGAACGGAGGGAGUACAUAAUUGAAGCAAGGGCUACCAUCUCUAUAUAUGUGACUCUAAAUGCGUCGAAAAUUAAUGAUUUGGGCUUUGAUUAUGGUAUACGGGUGACCUAACUCCUAAUCAGCGUAGCCGACAUUGCAUUAUUGGAUUGGUUUGUAAGCGCGCGGAUUAGCGUAGGGUCCCAAACACUACCCCUUACAUCAACUUUCUAGUUAAGCAAAGAUCCGGAGGAUUCUUUCUUGUUGAUGAAUCAUAUUCUGGCACCCUUAAUUAUAACUCUUUGAAAUCCUCUCGUGCCUUCUACCUACUUUGCUUUCCACCUCCCUAAGCUCUCCCUCUUUUUUCUCUUUCCUACACAUCAAACAACAAAAUGUGAAACCAUUCAUGGGAUGCUGCCCAUCUCCGUCGCCAUCUCUGCCUCGUUCUGAUAUCUUUUCAUUCUUGUUUCUGAUAAUAAUAAUAAUAAUGUUUGGAUUGUGAAUUAUUAGAGAUAUUUUUACUGUAGAACUUUUUUGUGAUGUGAUGUAUGUGAGAUAAAAAGAUAAUUGGGAAGAUAAAAAGGUGCGUUGGAAAUUGUAAUGAUGAUGUAAGCAAAUAUAUUUUGACAAAUAAACAGCAAUCCAAACAUGUAUCACUGGUAUUUCUUUUAAGCCAAAGUUAAUUUUGUAGCACUGUUAUAUUAUGCGUUUCUACUUUUGUUCACUUUGAUUUGAAGUCGAAAAAGUUGACUAGAAAAGAAAGAGAAAAAAAAACAUGUUUGGAUGCUCUUAGGUCGCAUAAACAACUUAGGUAGCAUUUUAAAGUUGAUCGAAAAAUGAUGUUUGCGUUAAUUGUUGAAACAAUUUUUAGUUCGUGGCCUACAAUGUCAGGUGUAAGUAUGGCAAACAAUAAUAAUAAUAAGUUAGCAGAGUAACAGUAGUAGUAGCACGAAAGGCAGAGGCAGCAAAAUUUGAUAUUGGAGGUCUGGAGUGGAGUGGGGGACAGUCAGUAUGGUCUACCACAAAAUGGAUAAAUUGUAGUACUCCGUAGCAAUUCGUGGACAUCCAAUCAAAUACCUAAGACUGCAAAUUAGCCUUUUAAUCAAGAUUUGCCUGACAUCCCCCAGACAGCCGUUUUUUAAAUGCUUAGGGAGUGAAUAAAAAACCCACGCUGAUAAUAAUGUAGUGUUAGAUACUGCCACUGUGAAUAUAUCACCUCUUUGCCUUGCCUGUCGCACAAUUGUUGCUCAAUUAUUGAUCCUCGCCGGUCAUUAUUAUUUAUUAUUGUCUAAGCAUGAAUGCAUCAAAGUUGGAAUCCUUAGAAAGAGAAAAGUAGCGGCUAGUGAUGGUAGUGGUAAUAGUGAACUUUGGCAUGUCAAGGGGUGGCAAGCGGCCGCGAAUCAUCCUCUUGAUGUGUUUCUAACUUCCGUGCUAUUUCUCCGUUUUCCCAUUCUGAGUUGGCCUUUCGUUCAUACAACCCUAAAUUGUUUUCUAGGGGGUUCUUUUCCUCUCUGCGAUUUAUGAUAGUUUUCUCAGAAUUGAAUUAAUGCAUGUGUUCCGUAAAAUGCUUUGAGCUGAGCUAAAAUAUCCGAAUUCAAGGACAAAAAAGUUAGCAGCAUUGUUUGGAAUAAUUACUGUAGCAUUUUUUGUAAUGCAAUGUAUGUAAGAUAAAAAAUUGCUUCAGAAUAUAAAAAAAUGAAUUAAAAAAUAUGUUUAUGAUCGAAGUGAAAUAUUUUAAAAAAAAAAUACUAUCCAAAUAAAGCCAUUAUUUUUUUUUUGAUAACUCGGAACAAGGCCAUUAUUGUCCGUAUCUGCAGUCCACUCCAUAUAUCCGUAUCUGCAGUCCACUCCAUAUAGAAGUGGAGACAUCUGCGUAGAGCUAUUCUCAUAUCCAAGCCCAAAGGGCUUCGGCAUUUUUUUAUAAAUCCUAAUUCCCGUGAAAACCCCAAAAGUCGGUAUCUCUUGAGGUCUCAUAGGGAACUUAUAAACCAACCCCUAAUCCCCCAGAACCCCGACGUGGGACAAAGCCACCACAACCCCAGAACCCCGAUCUGCGUAGAGCUAUUCUAAACCAAGAGGAAAUGGAUCCAUCUAUUAUUAUUAUUAUUGAGUCUAAUGUGUGUUGGCGGAAUUUUGUACAGUAGUACGCUGAACACGUAAGACUUGUUGGUGGCGGUUUUCUUUUGUUCCCUCGCUAGUAGGUCAGAUUACUGUUGUGGAGUUUAAUACGGUGGGCAUCAAAUGGUCAACCUAUGCAAGGAGAGAGAAAGACACUUUUUCAUAAUUCCCCCACACCUUAUUCGUUUUCUCUACUCAUUCUUCCCAUUGAUUAAAAAUCAUGGAUGGAGAUAGAGAGAUAGAGAGCAUCCACCCACCCAACCCAACUCCUCCCAGUCCUCCUCGACAUAAUUGAUAAUACCCCCUCACCCCCAAUCCCCCCCCAACAACAAGCCACAAAGAACCUCCUCUUUCACUCUCUUCCCCCAUCCUAUUUGUUCCGCAACUUUUCCCUCCGUCGAGACCCUCCUUCAUUUCAUUUCAUCUCUUCCCCACUCUCUCGUGCCUUUUUUCUUAACAAACAACAAACAGACCAAGCAUCAACCCUCCAUAAGAUAAACCCCUCAUUCCACAAUCCACUCCUCAACCAUUCUACUCGAAACAUACAUACAUAGAUGGGUUUGGAUGAUGUAUGUAGCCCAGGCCUUGUAUUAGGAUUAGGCUUCCCGUCAACCGCCGAGAACAAACCACUGAAAACGGAUAACCAGAAAUCAAGAAAGCCAUCCCUCCUCAAGUCCGAACAGUUGGCCAACUUUGAGCCGUCGCUGACCUUGAGCCUUUCCGGCGGCGACACUUUCGAUAUGCUAGUCAAGAAGCUGGAUGCUACUGCUAAUAAGGCCUCGAAUAAUGAGCCCCCACCUUCUGCUGCUGACUUGCAUCGUCAAGAUAGUGCUGCGUCGUCCUUCUCCAACAAUAGCGUGAAGAGGGAGAGGGAGCUCGGGAGCAGCGAAGAGGUGGAGAUCGAGAGACUUUCGUCAAGAGUAAGUGACGAAGAUGAUGAUGGUUCUAAUGGAAGGAAGAAGCUUCGCCUCACAAAAGUUCAGUCUGCUCUUUUGGAAGAGAGCUUCAAGCAACAUAGCACUCUCAAUCCCGUAACAUUUCUCUCUCUCUCUGGCUAGCUAGUCGAUUUAUUUUCACACGUAAUAGUAUUACAUAUACAUACAUAUCUGCUGAUUCUGCAGAAGCAAAAGCAAGAUUUGGCAAGGGAACUGAAUUUAAGGCCUCGACAAGUUGAGGUGUGGUUUCAGAACAGAAGAGCCAGGUACUUACUUCCUCAUCCCUCACCCUGAAGAUUAACAAUGUCGAGGAAAAACAAAAUCGAUCGUUCGAGGCGGUUUUUUGAGAUAUGCACAAAUUUUGUCUAUUUGAAAUAAAUAAUGGAGGGGGGGUUUUUUCUUGGGUAUACGCAGGACGAAGCUUAAGCAAACGGAAGUAGACUGCGAGUUCUUGAAGAAAUGCUGCGAGACGUUGACGGACGAGAACAGGAGGCUGCAGAAGGAGCUACAAGAACUGAAGGCGCUAAAACUAGCGCAGCCCUUGUACAUGCAGUUGCCAGCGGCUACACUGACCAUGUGCCCCUCUUGCGAAAGGGUCGGCGGAGUUGGUGAAAACUCUUCCAGCAAGAGCCCAUUUUCCAUGGCCCCAAAACCGCACUUCUUUAAUCCCUUCACCAAUCCAUCUGCAGCUUGUUAGCUAGCUUUUAAUUUAGCAACAGAUAUAAUAGCGCUAAAUAGUUUACUUGCGUAUAUGAUCGUCAGACUAUGGAAAAAAACCCAUAACCGGCCUUUUUUUGGUUAAGGGGCUUGCGAUCAAAGUUUUAGUUUGGAGGUAGCUUGUAGAAAUUCAAUCAUUUCUUUUGACAUAUAUAUGUUUGUAAAUGAUGAAGCAAUAUAUAUAUAUAUAUAUAUUAUUAUGGAGGGGUGGUUGUUACUUGUUAGUAGCAUUUUUGGUUUUGUGUUGCAUUGAUCGAUCACUGAUUUCCUUCCUUGCAAUCAAAACGAAGCAGUGCACCACUUUUUUUGGUCUAAUUCAUGCAUGAUUCAUGAAAUGUAAGGUCUGAAUUUGGGCAAAAUUGUUCGGCCUAUCAAAACGGCACCGAUUGUUAAUGGUUCGUGUAGCACAUCAAUAAACUCUUACCGAACGAAAUGAUGAAGAAGAUAAUGAUGGAAAAUCAGUUGGAAGUUAUGAUGAUCAGAUGAUGAUGUGUGGGCGGGCGUAUGUGUGAGAGAACGAAGAGGAUAGAGGGGUUGGCUCACGUGUAUCUGUCUGUAGCUUUUUCCAACUUUUUUUUUUUCCCCCUCUCCUGAUUGGCAACCAAUAAAAUUUUAUUUUAUGUUUUUUAUAAAAUGAAAAGGGUACUGAAAGGGCCGUUGGUCAUGAGGCAUGAGCAGCAGGGGUGAGAUGCGUGCGGAGAAAGAAAAGAAUGGAAAAGUCCCCAAAACUCAUUUCCCCUUCUUCCUCCCCUCGGAGAGAGAGAGAGAGAGAGAGGCAGGAAGGGGUGGGGGAUGGUGCGGCGUGUGUGGAUCAUGUUUGCGUACAUGGAUGGAUGAUGGGCCUGAUCAUCCAGCGUGAAAUGUCCCAACUUUUAGGGGACCGGUGGGUCACGACCCACGUGAUGUUCACGCUUCACACCCUACCUCAUUUGUUCUGAUUUCCUUCACCUUCACGAUCACAUUAUGAACAAUGAGGUUUCCAUGAAAUAUUUUUUCUUUUUUCUCGCAGUGGUUUGCAGUUAAAAUCAUCCUCUCUCUGGGUGUCACUAUUCGGUUCCAAAUUCAACAAUAAAAUAAUUGAGAGUUAGUUCCACUCAUCUAUCUCAAGUCUGGAAUUGAGAGUUGAUGAUGAGGUGCGGAUGAUGUUUUCAAAGUGAAAAACACAGAGGCACGGUGCCGAAUUGACACGCAUGUUAUGUUGCAGUAAGAGAGUGCAGCGUGAGGUGUAUUUCUUAAAGGACACGUUAUUAUGAUUGGUCAUGGGCAAAGUCAUAGACUGAAUCAUUGGGAGGAUCUGUGAUGGUCUUUCGGUCCACUAGCAUGAAUUUAUUCAAAAUAUGCAGUGGCAUUUGUUGUUACCUAGAAAUGUCUCUCCUGCUGUGGUCCAACAAAUCAUGAGGACACUUUCCUGGAAGUUACAACGCCUCGUAGUCUUCGUCUAAUCAUCGCUCAUUCUGGGUGUUCAAACUCUAAUGCCCCCACCACGCCCCCGCCCCCUCCUUUUCUUCCUUGAAAAGGAAAAAUAUAAUACUCCCUUCCCUUCGUCAUAUUUUGACAGUUCUGUAUCUUUUUUCACAUAAUUUAAUAAAAAAUAAUUAAUUUUUUUGAAAUAAUCAAUUUAGGUAGUUAUUUUUCUAAAAUACCCUCACAUCAAAUAUAAUACAAUUUAUGGGAAUUUGAAUUGAUUGUAAAAAAAGAAUAAACUCUCAUUAAAUGGGAUAGGUUUAUAGUAACAACAAUUUACAUUGAAUAAGGGUAUUUUAGAAAAAUUAAAAUACAACUACAUUCUUCAAUCGGAAAGUGAAUUACAAUUUGGGACAGACGGAAAGGGAAACCAGGACUAUCAAAGUGGGACGGAGAGAGUAGUUAAUUUUGUUGGAACAAUCAAUUUAGGUAACUAUUUUCCUAAAAUACCCUCACAUUAAUUAGAGUACAACUUUAUGGGAACUUGAAUUGAUGGUAAAAAAAAGAAUAAACUCUCAUUAAAUGGAGUAGGUUUAUAGUAACAACAACUUACAUUGAAUAAUGGUAUUUUAAAAAAAUUAAAAUACAACUACAUUCUUCAAUUGGGAAGUGGACUAUAAUUUGGGACAGACGAAAAGGGAAAAUAGAACUAUCAAAGUGGGGACGGAGGGAGUUAUAGGCAAGGAGAUGAGUGUCUUUUUUUUUUUUUUCCUUUCUUUCCUUUUUUUUAUUAUUAAUUAUUAUCAUUUACGUCUAUUCCUACUUCUACUCUAAUUUAUUUUAAUAGAAUGAAUCCACAGAAUCAUACGGAUGCAUUACAUAUUUAUAUGAGUGAUCUAAGAAAAGAAGCUACAAUAAAUGGUUUGAACAUUUACCCUUUCACUCCACAAAAUAUGUGAUAAUCAACUAUUCUAGAGGUAGUUAGUUGGAAAGUCUCUCUUCUUAUCUCUUCAAUUUCUCUCCCUCAAACGCAUACCAUCACUAUCAUGGUUACGGUUACACCAAUGCGCUCCUUCAACGCCCCAUUUGGACGUUAGUCAACACAACAUGAUGCGUUUCUCUCCUUCAUCAUUUACUUGUAUUAUCUCCGUGGACAGAAUUAAGCCAACUGAUAAAUAUAUUAUUGGCCCCAUGAGAAUUACGUAAGACCCUAAAGAACCCACAAUUUUCAACAGAAACACUAGACAACAGCAUAGCUAAUUAGAAAACUCUUUAAAAGAAAGGCAAGAGAGAUUGUAAAAAGUGCAAAAAAAAACUCUUUAACAUGGUGAACAGGAAACUCCAAAAGCGUGAAUUAGCGUGCAUCAAAGUUAGCUUUUAGGGUAGGAAAGUAUUCGGUUUAUCUCAUCUUUGCAUGCUCUUUUAAGUAGAGGUGACAGAAAGUUCCAAGAUCCAACGGGCUUCCAUAUCCAAAAUUAAUUUGGAUGGGAUGGAUAUGUAAAAUAUGUCUAAUUGGAAAUAUGUUCAAUAGUGUCCAUUUAAAGCAUGGAUCUACUUGGAGUUUACUUGAAACUCCCAUGAGUCAUUGAUUUUCCUGAAAGUAAAAAAAAACUACCCAACAAUUUUGAGACGUUUGAUUAACAGAUUUUGCCAUGUCCAAAUUGAACUUCAAAAAGCAAGCUUACUUUCAAAUCUCAUGAUAUUUAGAAAGAGAAAAAUCAAUUGACAUAGAUUGUACUGCAUGAUUUUUUUUUUUUUUUUUUUCACCGUGCAAAGAAUAGGAACUGAUCAACUUCAUCUUGACAUGAAAUGUGCAAAUGUGUACAAGAUCAUCUACUAGAGGAAACACAGGCAACGUUUAGUCACAUGACAAAACUGAAUCAUCAAACAUUUUUCAGGAGAAUGCAUGAUUUUGAUGGCGGAAAGUUUUUUAAAAUUAAACAAACUAACUAAAUGAUUUUUUUUUUUUUAAAAAAAAAAUCAAAGUUAUUGGAAAUUUGGAUGGUAUUAAAAUGCAUCUAGCGUCAUUUUAGUCCCGCUCGCAUAUUAUUGAUUCCAUGACUAACAUGAGACCAUCUAGGCAAAGUCAUAUAUAUAUAUAUAUUUUUUCUAGUUCCAAUUAAUUUAAGUGUUUUAGGGACGGUAGACUUGCAACCCGUGUGCCCACAUGAAACUUUAUACUAACUAAAGAAGAAAAAGGUUCGAAAAGAAAAGCAUGUAAGACAGAUGUCAUCCUCUAUUUAGCUUGGCGGCCUGUCCAAACUCUGUAACCUUCAAUUAAUUUAAAAUUAGUGGCAAUUAGCACUGGAUCAGCAUCUAUCAUCAUCGACGGACGGCGACCCAUGAAAUACAAAAACAAACAUUACCUAGUAUUACGACAUUGCUAAUCCUAAGACACAGAUCUCUCCUUAGACCGGGGAUUACGCAUGUUCAGCAACUAGCACGUAUUGGGUCGCUAUUUAAUGCAACCAAUUAUGGAAGCAUGUCGGCACCAGAUUGUGAUCAAUCUGAUCUGCGCUCAAGAAUACAUUCAGCAAAUAAUCAUUUGCCAGGUAGCAGCGGAAUUUUGCUGCGAUUUUAAGAUCUGGGGAAGAGUAGUAGUAGAGUGUCCACAAACAAUCCGUGUGGCGCAUGCAUUUUGGAUUGUUGAGUGUGGCCCGGGUUUGGCAGGGGGUUGCUGUUUGGUUGUUCAGCCUGGGCCCCCGACGAGUGACGAACUCUUCUGCUUUCUUUUUUUCUCCUUAAUUUGUUCUUCGUCGGAAACACCAGACUACUAUUACUUUUAGGCGGAGUUGCUGACUGUAGAAUAUGGUGGUUAGACGGAUAAAGCAAUUAUCAUGAGCCAGAAACCAAUCCAAAUGGGGACACACCUCGAUCGUGUAACUCAGGCUGCUGCAAAGGUCAUAAUCAUAUCCUCGAGACGCCACUGGCAUCUCAUUUAUUUAGUAGGGUGUAAAUGAGUAUAUGGUUGAAUCAAAUGCCGGUGGUAUUCAAGUUUAUUUGUUAAUUGAAUGCAAAUAAUUUUUUAUCAAUCAAACACGAUAAAUAAACAGAUCGAUAGAUUAAUUUCUGGGAGUGUUUUUAACGUUACUAUAACACUGGACUGUUAAACUUUGGAUGUCGUGAUAGACUGAUGAUGAAAGACGGACGGUGCUGGAAGUCAUAAAUAGAAUUAGAAAGUGAGGGAAGUUAGGUCCCCAAUGUCCAAGUGAUCGAGCCACACCGCUGCUGUUUCUCAAGCAGCGGAUAUGACAAGUGGAAACCCUAAAAAGUUCAACAGGAAGAGGAUGAAGCCAAAAUACUGAAGAAGCUUGAUGCGCUGUUGCAACACGUUCAGUCCAGCAGCUUGAACUCUAAUUAGCUUUGAUGGGACUAAGUACGUUGAAAUUAUUAUUAAGAUUUGAAGUCUCAUCCAUCCAUCGUCACACGCGCACUUAGCUUGAUACUGUAGAAUGAAACAUUCCAUCAACUUAUUAAUCAAUAUAGCACUGAGUAUGACGAUUUUGCCAGGAUUGAAGACGACCCCAUAUAUAUACAUAUAUAUAUACACACACACACACACACAUUACGGUGUCGGCAGGAUAUUGAAAUUAAUUCCGAUUUUCAGAUUAGUUUUGGAACGAAUCUUUUUCAUCUCAAUUUUAUUUCAAAAUUAUCAACUAUGCUUAUAAUUGGCUUUGGGGAGUGCUGUAUUGGACACCGUGCUUUCUCGUUCCAUAUAUGCGUGCUUCCGCGUGCAUGGCCAUGGAUGGAUCAUUUCUGCAUCAAUCAGCCAAGGCAGGAAAGGAAAAAAAGAAGGGGGAUUUGAUUUCUUCAAUCACAUCAAUCUGCAAUAUUAAUAUAUGCCCCCGUCGGCAUCCAAGUCCUCUAGGUGCAGAAGGAAAAAUACGAUUAAAAAAGCUUCACCAUGUUAUCAUCAACCACGCGUAUGCCGCCUGCGACCAUCGUCAGCCAAGCGACAACGGCUCCCACCAGGAGAUCAAUGUCUUGUUGUCCCGUCCACGCCAGAUCAGUGGCUACAAAUUCACCAACGCAGAAUACUAAUGCGCAUUUUGCAGCGACUCACAUCAUUAAUGAAAAGCAAAGCAUGUCCCACCUGAUUACGUACUAGUAGCACAGCCAGGAUGAGAGCAAGUUUUUAUACUGCUUACGAUUUGUUCUUUGGGAAUUUGUUCUACUGCUUACGAUUUUUCUCAGUCUUAGUAGUAGUUAAAUGUACCUUAAUUAAAGUUUUGAAACAACUGGACCACAGAAAGAGAUACUUAAAAGAAACAAAUUGAUUGUUUAGAGGUGACUAGUUUCCAAAUUAUAAGGAGCAAUGUCAAGAGAUGAAAUUAGUUUAUAAAUUGUUCGAGCCUAUUUUGUGAUUUUUGCAAAGUUUAGGGGGCAGUUGCCCACAAGCCGUCAAGGUGGCUCCGACGCUGCUGAUUACUAUCCCUAAGCCAAAUAGUACAUUUUAUCUUUAAAAAAAAAAAAAAGAAAAAAAAAGAGUCUCCAUCGGUAUUUGGAUAACGGGGAGCAAAUACCCGCUAACUACAAACUGUUUUAACGGACGCGACAAAUAUGGUCAUCUUUGUCAACUUGAUUGAUUGAGACUUUACUUGUUAGGCCCCAUUUCUUGAUUGAUUUUAUGACCCCAUUUCUCGAGCAACCUAUAUGUAAUUCUUCACACCUAUGGUCAAAAGUUUCCAAUUCAUGUGUAUACUAUUUUUUGCUUGAUGGAUGGAUGAAUGAACAAAGAAGUUGAAAAAACUUGUUCAAAACACGCCGUGCACAUAAUUUUCUAUAGUGUUGCUGUUCAAUGUGCCUUAUUUGAUUAGUUUAACACUACAUUCCAAUGCACGUAAAUUAUAAAUAUGCUGUAAUUGCUUGCACUGAGACAUUAUUAUUAUUGUUGGUAACCUUGGAGUUUAAUACUACUGUCAACUUCGCCUUGCCGAAAUUAUAAUAAGCAUUCAUUAAAAAGCCUUUCCAUGUCGCAUUUUGGGUUUCUUUCGUGUCAUUAUUAACUACUAGAAGGGGACGGUAAAGAAACGACGAGAGUUGCUAUUCUCUAGUUGCCAUGCUGUCCAUGUGAUACCAUUAACUCGUGAUGGUGCCACAAGAAUAUGCUCCUAAUUACGUAUUCAAAUUUCACUCUUAUUGGCGAGACAUGACAAAGGCACUCGUCGAUUCGACCCACACAAUUCUCUAUUCAUGAAUCUAAUACGGUGUGACUUCAAUGAUCACAAAGUUUUGAGGGUUCAACUGUUUAAAUUCGAUCAGCUCAUCAACUCAACUUCGGCUAUAAAACUAUGCUUUAAUAAUUAAGUUUGAAUCAAGCGAAAAUUUCUUCUGUUAAUUUUAUUUGUCGUGCUAAAAAGGGGAGAGAGGAUGAGGUUUUAAAAGCUGAAACGGGUAUGUUAAUUAAAUUCGAAAUUUUGUCUUAUUUCCGAUUGUAUCACGAUUUAAAAGAAACUUUAAAGCUUGUAGAAAAGGAGGAUUUUAGGGUCUGUUUGGUUGGAAGUAAAAUGUUUUCCUUGGGAAAAUAUUUUCCGUGAAAGUAAUUUUCCAUGAAAAUCAUUUCUCUUUCAUCAUUUUCAGGUGUUUGGUUAGCUUAUUGAAAAUAUUUUCUUACUUUAUUUUUCUGGUGUUUGUUUAACUUUUGAAAUAUUUUCACUUUUAUCUCUAUCUUUACUUUCUACACAUUAUAACUACAUACUUCUUCCCAUGCAAAAUAAGAAAUUUUAUCUCAUUGUUUAACUUUUAAAAAUCUUGGGGAAAUGUAUAUAUGAAUAAAAAAUAUCUCCUUAAGCAAUAAACAAAUUGCUGGCCAUUUAGUGGCAAAUAUCAAUCACAUGCAAUGCUUAUUGUGACAUAUAUCUUGCACUCUCACUGCGGAAAAUUUCUCUAGAAAAGAAUGUCCUUAUUAUACAUAAUUAAUUACUAGCAUAGGAUGAGUAGGAUGAGAUUUUUUUUUUAUUUUGAAUAUACUAGGGGGGUUGGGUGGUACGGGAGAGGGAGUGUAAGGAAGAGAUCUUGCGUUCGAGUCCUCCUGUUUACACUAAAAAAAAAAAAAAAACAUACUACAAGAUGUUUUCAGUAAGUUUGGAACAUACUACAGGUGGGAUGCAUGCAUUUCGGAAAACAACUUCAGUAAGUUUGGAAGGGAAGUUGUUUUCCAUAAGAUGAGUGAAAAUAUUUUACAUAGAAAAAUAUUUUCAGUAACUUUUGUGCAACCAAACACGGGAAAUUAGGAAAACAUUUUCACCCGAAACAAACGGACCCUUACUGGGACGUCAUUGAUACCCGGUUGAGCCGAGUCGUGGUUUGAACCAGAUGCGUUUCAAGAGUGCGGUAUUCCAAUUUCUCCCGCCAACUGAGCCUCCCAUCUGAAGGGCCCAUUCUCUGGGCCUUAGUCUCUUUAGCCCACCCUCAUCGGAUGAACAGGAAGCUCCUCCAAGCUCCACCCUGUAGUCAUGAUCUUGAUGGGAUAAGUGAUUUAGGUUCAAGUUCAUGGCCAGUGCUGAUCCACGACCGCUAUGUAGCCCAAAUUCAGCCAUUGCCCAGUUAAAGGCUAAAAAUCUUCUUUCAUGCUGAUUCAUGAACGAAGCCUCUCCUUACGUUUUGCAAGUUUAGCGCCUACAAGGUGUUUGAUGUUUGUCCACAGUUAAAACAGUUGGCCACUGAUCAUAAAAUGCAAUUAUAGUUUUCGUUUCCUCAUAAUUUUAAAUCUUUUGUAUUUCAGAAAGCUUUAUUUGGACUAGAAAAGUCUUUAGUUUUCUUUACACGGGCUCUUUUAGUUUACUUAAUUUGUUGGUAAUUGCAGCUUUUUCUUUGCAUUCCUUUUUUUUUUUUCCUUUAAUAGAAUGGGGGUUUAAGCAUCAAUAUCGAUAGGCGGCUCGAUAUGGAGGUUAACAUGGUAGAAUCAGGAAAUGAUUUUCUUUUGGUUUUUACCUUUAAGUUUCUUUCUAAUUGAAACUUCAUGAGCUAAAUAAUUUUUCUUUUUUUUGGGGACGCAUUGUGUUAUAGGAAGAUGCUGAUGGGAAUAGAUGCCAAAAACUGGGAAAAUCCUCUUCUUUUUAUCGUAGGAUAUAUUCAGAGGUAAUUAGAUAAUCAUGUGAAUGCAGGAAUUGUUUCUUACUUGUAGGAGUUAUGUGGAGGUUCAAAACUUCACUUGAUUUUUGGGUUAUGCCUCUGGUUUUUUUUCCUUCUGUGUACCUGGUAAAGAUCAUUUAGUAAUGCACUGUACUGAAAUACCUGAGCGAGAAUUAUGGAAUGACUUUGUCCAUGCAUAGGUAGAAGAUGUUGGAUGGGAGCAUCUAGUGAGGAUGGGGGAGGACCUGACAUAUUUGAGCUUCAGGGUCAUGUAAGACCAUUUUGCUUUUGCAUGUCUGCGUCUGCUUAUAGCUAUUUUUACGUCUAGCUUGUUCAAUGAUACUCAAGGCAUCUUUCAAUUUGUUCCAGUGACAAGAAAGGAAGAGCACACAUUUUGGAAAUAACACUGGAUACUAAUUAUCCAAAAUGCCCGCCUUCAAUAUCAGCUGUCAGUCUAUCUUACAAUUUGCUUUUUUUUGUUUCCUUCUUUAGCCUCUUUGUCCUGAGAUUUGACACCUUGUUAUCAUGCUUUUCCCAGGAUGUCCCUCAUAUCUUUAACUUAGACUGGUCUGGAAACUCGAAGCUCAAGGAUGCUGUGGUGCAAUUUGAACAUGUACUAGUGACCAUUUUUUCCAAGAGUUCUUUAAAAAUUUUCUUUUUAUCUUUAUCAUCUGCAUGUUUCUUCACAUGGACCGGUUAUCUCUUCAUUGACAUGGUGGCUAAUUCUCCUUGAGUUAGUCGUUGUGUUGACAUGAUUUGUCAAAUCCUUAAUCCCAUGCCAGCAUGUUGAUAAGCUUCAGGAUUUCUGGUCCACGUUAGAUGAUAUUGACCGGUCUCUUUGGGUGGUUGAUCCCAAGGAUCCACAUUUUGCAAUGUCGUACCGCCAAAUCAACAUAGGUUAUUUGUUUUCAUGUUUUAAUUUUUUUGGCUUUAAAUGUAUCCUUUAAGGUGCUCUUAACUUGUAAACUUCUCUCUGUUUUGUAGGAAAUGAUUGCUACAUCACCUUAUCGGUAAAUGCCAGUGAUCCAAGAUCCUUGCCCCAGUAUAUCAUCUUCUUUAUCACUUUGGCUUGAUGAAUUGUGUUUGCCAGAACAAUAACAGAUUUCAUUUCAUGUAGAUGUCGCUUUCUUGGUUCAGAUGCAAAUGUGAACCUUUUGAGAAGGAAAUGGAAAAUAAAUUGCAAAAGAUGGUAGCUACCAGUGAUAUCUCUGCAAAUUAUCACCUCUAUUCCCAAUUUUAUUUGUGUCUGGAAUUUUCAUUUAUGUGAGACUAAAUGGCUUUAGUGCCUAACAUACUCUGUCCUGCUGAGGAGCUGUUUGAGGAUUAAUGAUAUCCAAUUAAUUAAUCAAAUUUGCAUAGAGCUUGAAUGCUUAAUGCUGACCUUUAUGCACCUUUAGUACCUACUUCUAUAACUUUCCACUUCCAAGUGUCUACAAGUUGUUUGACUAUAGACAAGCUAUUUAAAUCAUGAAUCCUAUAGCAGAGAGGUCAAUGAAUCGUGGGCUCUAGGCUUAGUUUUUAUUUUGGUUUUAUGCAGUUACUGAAAAUCCUAAUACAGAUAAAACUGCACUAUUUCCUACCCAGCAACUUAGCUUAUGGAUGCCAUUGCAAUAGCACAACUGUCACUGUAGGCAUUUUUGUCCUCCAUGAUACAUGCCACUGCUGAUGUCAUGAUGAGGAAAACCCAAAAGAUGAAGAUCAUGAUGAUAGGCCGUAGAAUUCAUUAUUGUUAUGUACUAAUUUUUUACACAUUUUAGAGCUAAAAGACUUUUAAUUAGCCUUAGACGGUUUAAGGUUGCUAAGUAGAGCUAGAAGGUUUUGGUCUUGCAGCCCACAGUGAGCUUUUUUAUCGGCUUAAGGCUUGCCAGGCUAUCCUUGCAGUAUUCACAUCUAUAGAAGGUUUUAGGUGCUAUUAUCCAGGAAAAGUGCAUAAUUUAGUCCAAUAGCUUCUUCUCAUCCACGACUUUGUUGAUUGCCUGUCAUGGUGUGCUUUUUAAUUCUAACAGGGUCAAAGAUAGAUCAUUUUCUGAAAAUCUGACAAGCAUAUUGGAUAUUGAGCUCCCUCAACCUCCUGAAGUCAGGAAAGAUGAUCGGCAAACUGAAUGUGGGGUUUGUUAUGCCCAAUAUCUGCCCAUUGGUAUGGUUUCUCCAAUAUUAGCAUUUUUCCCCCAAGAAUAUAUGUGUACACAUCAUUAGAGAUAAUUAAGGUGGUGCUAUCUGAUAGAUGAUGAACUUGGCUCAAAGAGCGGGAGUGCAACUGACUACACAUGUGAAAAUAACAAUUGCAGUAGGGCCUUCCAUAGUGUUUGUCUUCGAGAUUGGCUGCGUUCAAUUACAACAACAAGGCGGUAUGUUUGUUCUUCAUGUCUCUGUUAGUUUUAUUGGCUUUAGUCCUUGAUUUGUAAGACACUUUAGUGUUCCUUUUCUCUACAAUUUGGACGAAUAUGGCUUUCCUGUCUGCUGUAGGCCUAUGGCAGCAUAGUUGAACAUGUAGGCGCUAGUCAUUGUUGUAUAUUAUUUUAUUUCUUUUUGUUCUUGUUUUCCUUUUUGACAUGUUUGAUUUCUUCCUCCUCGUCUUCUUCUUCUAUCCCCGUCUCUCUCUCUCUCUCUCUCUCUCUCUGUGUUGUAUACUUGUAUCCUCCAUCCAUUUCUCUUCACUCAAGGGUGCUUUAUAUGACCCUCCCCUCUGUGGCACAUGUGGUUUAUAGACGAAUAUCAUCUCUUUCUGAAUAGCUCACAGCUUUCUGAAUCUCUUGUUAUUUGAUAUUUUUUGACCUUUUGGUAAAUCUUAUUAGUGCUUCUUGCUUUGGAUGACACAGCUAACAUCUUUGAAACCAAAUGCUAGAAUUUUAUUUCUGGUGUAAUUCAAGUAACUAGGUCAAUUUUAUAGUCAUUAUCUUUGGUAACAAAAACACAAUUUGCAGUAUACUGGUUUCUUUGUCAACUACUUGUUGUAAGACGAAUCUCUAAUACUUCUUCAGGAUUUGAUUACUUGGUUUGUAAUAACUUUUCUACUUCUGUUACAGGUCAUUUGAUGUUCUGUUCGGGAAUUGUCCAUACUGCUCCAAUCCUGUUGCAGUCAAAAUUAUUAAUAAGAAGUGAUGCUUUAUUUCCUCGUCCUUGAUGUUAUCAAUAUGUAUGAUAUACUUUUGUUGCUCCAUGAAAGCGAGCAAUGGAAACAGGAUAUCAAAAUAAAAGACUGGCGUUUUGAGUGAAGCUGGAAGCUUCAAGCUUCUUUGGAAGAAAUGUCACAAACCUCAAGAAUAAUACCAUGUGAAAUCCCUUCUAAGGAGAACUUUGAAGUGAUGGUUCAGAGUGGGAAAUUUAAUUAGUAGAUAUGUUUUUCUAUCAAUCAAUUGAAUCAAUUGACCCUGUGCUACACUUGGGGACUUUAAACAGCUUAGUUCAUCUCCAAUUUAUGUUCAUCCUGAUAUUAACUGUGUGCCUGUUUCCUCCCUGUCAAUGUUAAUGCAUUUUAUUUGUGGACAAAAAUCGUUGUAUGUUUGAAGGUUGGCAAAUGAUGUUGCGAGUUGUGGUGGGGCGUCUUCGCCGAUUAAAUAGCUUUGAAAACGUUGUAACGUGCUUAAGUUGCAGCGCUUGAAUUUGACAAAUCGCAUCACCUUUCUCCUACUUUCAAGGAUAUAUUUACUGGGCUGAACGCACGCACAAUUUAUGAAAAGCCUAUGUAAUCUAGGCAAUUGCCUAGGAGAUCAGCCCCCAGUUGCUGGGCAUUGACAUAUCAACCUGAGAGAUUCGUACAAACAGGGGUAUGUGAACUCCGGUAAUCGUUUCUUAUUUGCAAACAGAACCACUAAAAUCACUAGGACGAUGGUUUGAGGGUCAUUGCUUGUUAUGGAAUUUCUGGGUCUUGUACGGACAGGUUAACCUUUUCGUAACAAUGGUAUCAGAGCCAGGCAACGAACCCAACAUCCCAGGUUCGAAUCUCGUAGAGGCUCUGCCUCCUUGAAGGGGGAGUCCCAAAAUUACCAGGCCGUCGAGGGCGUCGGCCUCUAAGGAGGGGCGUUUGUUAUGGAAUUUCUGGGCCUUGUACGGACAGGUUAACCUUUUCGUAACAUUGCUCUCCGGGGACCUUUGUUUUAAACUCCUGCAGAUCAAACUGUUGUGUUGGGGCUCCAUCGCUCAAUGCCGAUUCUGUUGAAGUCUUGAUUUUGCUUCUUGGGCUCCAUCAUCAUGUGGCACUAGGCUCCUAGCUAAUGAUCAGUACUUUGGUGAACUUAUGAAUGGCAGUUCAUGUUAAUUGAAUUCUGUAAUUCCAAGGCAGAACGUGCGAAGCCCAGAGAAAGUCAUUUUACACAAGGCAAGUGUAGAACUCAAGUCAAGUAAAUUGUGUAUUUUGUGGGACUCCUAAAGGCAGGUUAGGGUAGAGGGUAGUAUUUUAGGUUUAGCUGCUUCCAAACUCUCGUAUGCCGACAUUGUUGAUGUGAUGUUAAGUGAAGAAGUGAGUUUCAAAAAUAUUUUGAGCUUUUCUUCAGCUUAAGAAAAGUCAAUUUUGAAAAAUAAAAUCCAAAGCAAAAGAGCAUAAAAUUGGAUAAGGUCGAAAGAAAAAUGCUAAGAAAUGUCGCUUUCUCAUUGAGGGAGUGCCCCUCAAUUAAAACCAGAAUUUGGACCAUUCCGAGACUUUUUUGUUGAUCUUCGCACUUGACUUUGUUUUAUUCCCUUCGUUGCUUCUGUUUCUUCGGCUAAAAUUAAGCUACGAAGGAAACACCAAGACAACAUGAUUUGACUAGACCAAUUCGUAAUGGUGUAAUGAUAGCUUGGUUGUUGAAAACAUGAUUUAUUUAUCGACACAAACCCAUUUUUAUUCUCGUUUUCCACAAUGAACAAAAGGCAUUAUUGAUUUACAACACACGAUACACAAAAUAAUUUAUAGUAAGACACAAACAAAUACACUGUGGUAUGAUUACAUUAUUGACAUUUGCUCACAAAUUCAACUAUCAAUGGCUCUCAUCUCCUGUAUACUCAAAUAAAUAGUGUAUCAAAUUAUUAUUCAUGCACCAGCCAAUGCCCUUCUGCUUCUGCAUGGCUUUCCCAUCACAAGUUGUGGCAGCAGGCGCAUGUACGCACGUUGAUUCCAACUUUACUACUAUAACUUUCAAUCGAGAAUCCAGUGUGUGAUAAGGUAAAAGAUGAAUGGGCGUUUUUUUUCUUUUUUGACUUUGGAUUGCAACUUUAGAUUCCUGCCAGGCAUUCGGGUGGGGCAACGGGGAAACGGGAUCUGUCGGUGCAGUAAUCAUAGAUCAUGUGAUUGGCGCGAACCCAGUGAUAUUUCCUAGCCUCAAGCGGGGUUAGUCCUCUGUAGUUAGGUCCUUCCCACCAAUUGUUUGGGUUGAAGGCACAAGCAGCUGGUCCUGGCACAACGCAACCGUCAACGUCGAAGUCUUUGUAGUAUGUGUAGAAGGGGGCUUUGCUCCAAUCAAUUUUCUCUAAUCCACCCCUGGUUGCCCAGUCAUCUGCAUCCCAAAGAGUGGAAAAGAUACCCAUGGGUUGCCUCUUUGGGUAUGGGAUUCCUAUCGCUUCAUUGUUCUUGAAAACCCUGAUGGGCACGUCGUCCACAUAGUAGCUGUCGACCAAACAUCACCCAUUAGCAAUAUGGAAGAUCCACACAACUACACUUUGUGUAUGUUAUGGACUUGUUCAAAUUCGUAAAAUUGUCUGAGAUAGAAUUGCCUAAAAUAUAAAGACUUCAUGAAAUAGAAGAACAACGAUACACUCUCAAGAGAACUAGUAACUAAGACUAGUCACAGUGUCUGUAAUAUUCAUAUUCUGAGUCAUCACAAACAUUGUAACCUUUUAAAAAUACUAAAACUCUCUCAAUCAUUACUAUUGUUUUUGUUUUUUUUUUAAAGAUGCUGCUGACUUACAUAAUAUUCUCCCGGGUCCAACGUAUAGUAUAAGUGUGAAAUCCUAUAGAGGGAUCAAACCACAGGUUGAUCCUUUGUUCCCUGCUACCUUUCCCGUUAACGUAGACAUUAGUUUGGACAGUGGUGGGUUGUCCCGAGCGAUUCCCCAAGAAUUCGAAAUCAAGCUCGUCACGAACAUAGUUGGUGUCGGAGUUCAUCUGAAACAGUUAAUAUUCAUGCAAAUCAAGAAAUCAAGCUUUUUUUUUUUGGUUUGUGGGGGGGGGGGGGGAAGAGGGGAGGUGUUAGAACUGAGAACAUACAUAGAAGGCAGUAACUGUUCCUGCAGAGUCACCAGGAAUGAGCUUGAUCUUCACACUAAAACUGCCAAACAAAUAUUGGUUCUUGGAAGCAAACCCGCAUCCUAAAUACGGAUGCAUUUCAAAAUUCAGGUUAUUGCAUCAUCAAUCUUGAAUAAUUCUUGAUACAACUAACAAAGGAUUCUGGUUAAUGGUCCCCUUGUACAAAAGCCAAAAAAGUAAAAAAAGAAAAGGGUAGUACCUGAAUUUCGGUCAAGAGUGAGCUGAAUGGCGGUUCCUCCAUCGAUUUGCCUGAUAUGAGAGUCGGACCACGUGACUCGAAAAUCUUGAACAAAAGUUGCCGGUCGUCCGCUAACAGUGACGAAGGAAAAGGCCAAGGCAUACAUGAUUGUACCAACAAAGAAAGCAGCACGUAUUGAACUCAAAUGUAACAUAUUGGCCAUGGUUUUAAGUAGUAUAUUUUUGCCUGCGUGCGUGUGUUUGUGGGAUGUGGAAACCAAGUCUCAGGCGCCUCUAUAUUUAUAUACACAAAUGCGGAAGUGAGGGAGGGGGGGAAGAAGGGGAGGUGAAAGGGACUGCUGCAUUCAAAUAGAAAGCGCCAUAUUACACCUUAGCUUUCUAAACAGCUAAUGGUAAGCCGUCACUGGACCACCCUCCCUCCCUCCCUCUCUCUAAUCUCUACCCAAUCCUAUUAUUGGAUUGUUGGUAGUAUACCUACUGUUUAUUCACUAUUCAGAGUUUAGGUUAUGGGCAAUUCUUCAUUUCAUGAUGUAUCCAUAACGAUCCUGUCAACUUCAAUAUUAUGCAAAUUAUGAUUUCCCGCGUAGUAAUCUGCAAUGCGAGGCUGUGAGCUAUAGUAGGAGGAUCUAUCCAUACAUGGAUCAUUGGAGGAGUUAUCGAAGGUAUGGGUCGAUUACCCUCUUUCACUAAAGUGGAACUAACAUUUGCUGCCUAACCCACUUUAAGCUGCUGUUGAAUUUUUUGACAUUCUAAUGGGUCAAAUAAGUCGUUUCAUACUUCUAAAAGUGUAGACUUUGACAGCAGGACUUAACUUGUAUCAAUUUAACAUGUCUUCUAGUCUAGACUCCAAUAUAGGAUUGCAUCAUUUUGAUCGGAAGCUCUCUUAAGACUCUUUCUAGACUUGGUCCUGUUUACCAGUUGUUCUACUAGUUCUCCAUAUGUGUCCACGUCCGAAAAUUAAUUCUCUGCAUUGAUUAGACAAGCAUUUCUACUAGUAGUUAUGUUGCUGCAGGCUUCGUUUCAUCCUUCACAGUCAAGUAAACAUUUUUUUUCCACCAAGAAAUUGAAAGAAGAAAUUGUGCCGCUAUAUUCUUUUGUAAGAGCAACCUGUCGACACAUGCAAAAAUAAAAUAAAAUAAAAAUAAAAACAAAGGUAAGAAUAAAGAAUAUGAUGAAGAGAAUAACUAUAAGAUUUUGAAUUUCUUUUGGUUAAAACACGAAUUGGGAAGGAAGAGGAGGGAUUUUCACCAAAAUGCCAAUUAUUUUCUUCUUUUUCCCAAACCCUCUAUGCUAACUGAUCUGCAUAGCUCGUACUGAAAAUGUCAAAGAACAUAGAACUCCUAAUAUGCUAAGUAACCGACAUUUAAGUCCAACCGAACAAUACAGAAGGGCAAGCAAGUGCCUCAAUUGAUAAUUUAGUUAAAGGACAUGAGACUAUUCAGUAGUUAAGGUUUUUUUUUUUGGGGGGGGGGGGUUGGUGUGGAAUUUUGUGCAAAGGUAUCUUUAAUUGUUGCAUCAGUUCCCAAAAGUAAUGUUGUUAAAUUCGGACCGAAUAACGACUCAACAAAAUUAUUGGAUUAAGGGUUGAUUAGUCGGAUUGGUCGAACCAUUACUCGCUAACGUGAGCAUGGUGUUAUAAUUGUUUUAUAUUUUUAUAAAGUUAAGGAAUAUUGAAAUAGCGUUCUUGGUUAUAUUUGCCAACCAUACAAAAUGUUACAAAAAUAUAAAUUUUGCAAUCAAAUAUACACCUAAAAUAUAAAAAUGUGAAUUCAAAUCUAAAAUAUGCUCAUUCUCCAAAAUUACUUUAAAAACUAAUUAAAACAAAUCAUACCCAAUUCGAGAUUUUUUUUUUGUUGGGAAUAUGGCUUUAUAAUGCAAGUUGGAAUAACUGAUGAUAAGUUGAUAAGGAUAAACAUUUCUUGAUUUAGAGAUUAUUUAGGAAAAUGAGUGAUUUUGAUGUUUAUACUAAUUGGAUGGUGUUUUCUUAUUCCUAUUAAUAAAUGAAAGUUUUAAAAUUUAGGUAAUCCAAAUUAUGUCUCAGACAAAUAAGAACAAAAAGUUUGAUAACGGGAUCAAACAGUUGAAUUGGGCCACUGUUUUGACUGAUUUUUUGAUGAUUUUGACUGAUUUUCGAUCGACCGGAGUGAUUUUGUAUUACUAACCAACUUGAAAAAAAAUGCGAUUCGCGAUUGACUCGAUCAGAUCGAUCGGUCCGAUAUGUGUAAGUGGUACGGAAGUUAGCCAUUUGGAACCUUGUUAGGAAAUUCGCCAAAUUAUCACGUGGCAAACCACGAGUCCUGAUGAAAUUCAAUUUAAAAAAACAUAGAACUACAAACUAUUCACGAAAUUGAAACUGAGAUUUUCAAUGGCUAGUGAUUAAUGCGCUCAAUGAUCUUACGAAAUUAAUUGUCCGUCCUGUUGUUAGGCGGAGAGCAAUUACGAUAUACUACUUUUUUUCUACUCGAACUGCAGACUAGUUGAUCUACAUUGAAUCAAGAAUCCGAACGACUCAUAAUUCCACUGAACAAUCAGCUACCCUUUUAUCUCCGGUAACAAGGGGAAGAGAAAAAUGAGAGUUUAAUCUACUUAUUGAAUCGCAUGUUUUCUCUUCGAACUCGAAUGGGUUAAGGUGGUCGGGGGAUUUCAUUGAUUAAGGUAAUUGCUUGGCCCAAAAAGUUCUGGUGCGUGCCGAUGCCUUGAAUCCAGAAAUGCUUUAUACGGUUUGGCACCGCAGAAGCAGAGCAGGGAGGAAGGAAUACCGGCGGCCCAUUUAGGCAACACAUUGCACAUCUCUGGUGCACAAGGAAGAAAAUUAGAUGUUGAUAUAGAUAUGGCGGCAUUGGCGGAUGGAGGACCCGCCUCUUCAGUCUUCAUCCUUGUGGGCACACCGCCAGAUACUAUUUCACCUGGGUUUAGGCCAUAAUUUGCCACCUGAGAGCCUACUCCAGUCCAGCCUCAUUGCUAUUAGGAUUUGAAGGUUAACAGUCACCCGGAAGCCUUCAUGGACUACGUGGCUACUUGAGCAUCAAUGAAAUUUUCUUUCUUUUUUAUGUAAAGCAUAGAAUACAUACUGUCUUGAAUAAGAUCACGGAUGAAUGAUUGAGUUGUAUAGAAUAAUCACUUUAUGUAGAAGAGAAUAGGCCAUAAUGACAUUCGAGCUCCAUGAAUUGACUAUUCUGCUACGUGCCUCUGUCGUUGUCCAGGUGAUGGAGCUAGCGCGCGAGUUCAAAAAUUUUUCUACUGCCUUCUGGCUUUUGUGUUUUACAAUCAGAAUUUGCUAUAUUCAAACUUCCUCCCCCAAUAUCCUAGAUGGUCUUUGCUCUACUCUAAUAAAGACUACGAAGAAGGAAAGAUUGCAUUAGAUAAAAAAUUUUUUUUUUGGUCACCAAGCCGUGACUACAAAGAAAGAAUAUAAUUCCUUCUAAUAAAGGUGAAUGAACAUCUUCGGAAGGCUUAAAGGCCUUCUCAAAAGCUUGAUAUUGUCAGCAACAACGAUUAAACGGGCGCCCAAUGUCAAAAUUGAGAUUAGUAUUAUGGAAGUUUCAUGAACAAACUAGUAGAUAUUACGAAUGAAAAUGGGGGCGAGUACCUGUCCAUGCAGGGGAAGAGUGGCGCGGAGGUUGAGGCGGGGCCGGAAUGGCGGAAGGGGAACUUUUUCUCCUCCUAUCUAAGGGAGCACAGCACACCCCCUCGCAUCCCCUGUCAUGCCUCUUUUCUAAAUAUUAAUAUACUAUAACAUUUAUGUAUUUUUUUAUACGUAUAUAUGGAAUGAAAAUCACGGCUGUUGUUAUUAUGUAAAUAUAUUGUAUUAAAUAAAUAAUAUAUUAUAUUAUUAUGAUAAAAUGAUGCAAUUUUUCGCCAAAACUUGAAAAGAAUGAUCAAUAAAAUUAUUAUUAGAUAUAUAUAAAUAAAAAAUUAAAUCAAAUAAAAAAUAAUAUGAUAGCACAGUGGGACGGGUGCACCUGCAAAUAGUAGUGCAAGGCGGGACAGAGUAGGGGCAGGAGAAACUUUUGUAGAACGGGGCAGGCAGGCAGGGAGCUGGGGAAGCUUCCUCGCGUUGAAGAAAUUAUUUGAAGAAAUUAAAAAGUUUUUUUUUUUUUUGUUGAAGAAAUUAUUUGUUUCUAGCAAGUUUCUUUUGCAUAUCUCCUGAUCUUCUGCACCAUUUUUUUUUAAAAAAAAUUUGGGUACUAUUCUUCUAAACAGAUUAAGGAGAAAAACAUCGACUAACAUUAUUAUUAUUCUUUUUUAAAAAAAAAAAUAGCUCAACCGUCCAAUUUUAUUGAAUAUAGUUGGGGAGGUGAGAGCAAUUUAAUAAAGUAUAAUUAUGAGGUUUCUGAUUAAAAUUACCCCUUAGUGACAUAUAGUAGAUUGGUGGCAGCAGGGUGGGACCUUGGAAGUGAGGCCUACCAUUCUCCGUACACUCUGACGAGGGACUUUCGAGGGGAUGAGACUUGGCAGUCCCACAGGCCCAAUGGGCGAAUCCGACAAAAGAAUCGCUUUUGCUUUCGACCUAGAACAGGAAUGGAAAGGUCUGACGCGGCAAAAAAUUCAAGUCACACCACACGUCGGUAACAAAUCGAAUUUGGGUUCGGAUCCCACCUCCACGUUUCCCUUGGGUUUGCGUGCCCCAACAGCAGGGCCGUGUCUCUUUCGUAGCUCUAACACCAACCAUAUGAUUGGCUCUAGACCACGAUAAGGAGGAACAAAAUUUCAAGGCCUUCGGAUGAGUCUUGACCAAAUUAUUUUAUUUAUGGCGAGGGGCCGCGGCUAAUACUACUAAUUAUAUUAAGCUGUGGAAACAUGUUUUGACUAGGAUGCCAAGGUUCAACAUUCUUGGAAGAGCUUUCUGUUGUGCUAAAAAAAAUAUAUCUUACAUUUUUUUGAAAAGAAGUCGAGAAAUAUCUUACAUCUCUCCAGUUAAAAACUACAAUUAGGAUCAUUCAGGAGAUAAUUUAGUUUAAUACUGGCAGUUGCUCUGUCAAUGAACAUCAACUGGUCCAUUCUUGGGGUUCAUAUGAGAUUAGACAUGACCUAAUGAGACGGUUAAGCUACUCUUAGACAGGCUUUAAUGCUCGGUUUAGCACUUGCUCCUUCCAAGGUAAGGGCAGAAUCGACCGUCUAACGACAGCGUGCGCUCUAUUAUUAUCUCCAGGACUUGGAUCGUUAACUUAACUUUCAUUCCAGCCGUCAAUAUCCUGCACGUAUUUUUGUUGUUGUUCGAACUAUCAAAUUUUAAAGUCCUAACUUCAUUAUUCCUGGCACUAGUUUUCUCAUGUCGUACCACCACAUUUACAGGAAACGCAUCUUUUUUAGCCACUCAUCAUGGCUCAUGGGAUGUAUAUUCCUCCACCCUUUUACCCAAUUGAUCCGACUGAUUAAAUUUGGCACCGUCCGAAAGAAUCGACUGCGGAACUAGAAAGGCAUGCAUGGAAAUGUAAAAGUCUGCAUUAUUGUUACGCUAGCUGGUAUGAUGUCAAAAUCGGUCACGCAAUUGUCUGAUACAGACCUAUAUAUAUAUUAUACAAUGCACAGGUUUAAAUGGCUGCCAUUGGAAUUGAGAUAGAGAUGAGGAUAGUAGGGCAUCUCUCAUUGAUGAUGAUACAUUUAGAAGGAUUCAGAGCAUUCAACCACCUCUUUAUCAGUGUAUAUGGCAAAAUCCCAUCUAGUCAGUAUCCAAGUCAGCUCAUACUUUGCCCAGGUCUGUAGCCCGUGAGCAGUCGACGCCAGAUUGUGGUAGGAUAUUGCAAUCUACCAGCAAUUAAAACUCACAUCUACGACAACCCAGAUUAGGGUCCUACAGUCGAUUAAUUGCAGGUUAGACAAAUUCGAUGACAUGGGCGAAUUGUAAAACAGCGUUCACUGAUGUAAGCGUCAUCGUUUGGUACACACAAGAAGUCAAUUUGUAAAUGGCGUCUUCCGAUCCAUCAAAUGGUGUCAACUUGUAUCUAAAUCAUCGAUUGGACAAACAAAUUCAACCUCCGCUCCACCCAAAAUUUUUACCACGCACGAGAGUGGGAGUGUGUGUGGGUGAAAAGAUGGAGGAGGACGUUGCUUUGAAUUGCAUGACAGGUAGUUUUCAAGGAUUUGUAACAAAGGGUAAAUCAAUUCUUCCGCAAAUGUAUGUGUUCUUCCAGGUACCUGCAGGCUUGUGACUGUGUUUCUUGCAACAAGUUGGUAAUUCUGAUAGAUUGGCAAUUCCUGUUUCAUCGAGUUUCAUGUCCCCACAUAGUUAUUAAAUCCAGCCCGGUCCGACGGACGAACCGAUCAAAUCAAUGAACCAGACAUUGGACCGGACUGGAUUUUAAAUUAGAUCAUUUAAGCAAUCAAAUCGUUGACUAGUCAAUGGAGCGGCGAUUCGACUGGAUGAAACCGGAAACCUGCCCGAUUUUGUCUAGGAACCGGAUUUCGUAUAAAAAUUUUAUUCCUUUGUUGGAAUUAGACCUCUGGUCCUUUAAGCAAGGCGCGUACCACCAAGCUACUUCACCAUUUGUUGAUUGAGUAGCUUACUUAUAAUAUAUAAACGUUUUGUCAACUUUAUCUUUUUUUUUUUUUAUUUCUUUGGGAUCUUUUAAUAAAAAUUUAUGACCCCAAACUUUAUAAGUUAUAAAAUGGACUUCAAAAAUGACAUAUUACAUAAUUCAUUUUAAAGACAAAUAUUAUUUUUAAUAAUUUUUUGCACUUAAAAUUCAUAAAUAAGUUAGAUAAUUACACUAAACAUAGAUAAAAUUUUAUACUUGAAGUUUGGUAUAUUACUAAAUAACUUAAUAUUUUAUUGAUUCUUAUAUGAAUUAAUUAUUUUAUAUCAAAUUAAAUUAUAUGAGCAUUUGUUAUGACAUUAUUUAUUAUAAUUUAUAUCAUAUAUCUUAUAUCAAAAAUUAUGAAAUAUAAUAUUUACAUAUAAUUAGUGACCCACCGGUUCAACCACUCACCCACUGAUUGAACUAGUAACCCGUUGAUCCAUCUCGUUCGCCGGGUUCCUCCCGGGUUGGAUUUAAUUACUAUGCUCAGAAGUAGUAAAGAACAGGAAACGAGUUCCAACGUCGCUAAAAAAGUAGGGUGACAAAAAAUUGCGACAUGAUAAACCCAAGGUUAUAAGUAGUUUAUCAAAAUGGAAAAUUUGUAGUGCAGGAAGCUAUGUUUCAGUCCUUCAGCACACCUGCAGGUGGUUCUAUAGAGCAUUAAAAAACGGGUGGUUCCAUGUAGGUGUAAGUUUAUCAGGUUACGCGCUGUAUACUCUUUAGUCCGAGAAGCCGGGAGCAUGUUCUUGAUUCCAGAGGAGACUCCAAGCCCAGAACGGAAGAAAGCAAAGGAUUCCAGAAUCAGAAACUGGUAUAGUCUUACAACUAAAAUUGGAUUUAGAGAGAAGUUAAUGGCUUUCUCCGCUGGAAGGAGGGGUAAAGAAGUCACGUCCGAUUUGGGAUUAAAAAUCAGCUUAAACUCGGAAAACUUCAAAUUGAAACAAACGAUUAGAUCAGAGACUGAGUUGAGUUGGCUUGAUGUCGGACGUAAACUGUACUAUGGAGUUGCAGGAAACUCAUGUGUUCCAUUCGCUUCAUGCAUCGAAUACAUAUUUGUUUUGAGCAAUUAAGCCGAAAAGCACCAAAUACUAGUCUGUAUUGUGAUAGCAUCAAACGAAAGCAAUAUACGUUACCAAAUAAAUUUCCAGUGAUUGAUCACUAUACUUUAAGGUCACUUAAUGCAUUUUUGCAAAUUCGGUUCAUACGACGGUUUGAUUCACGGUGCGAGUGAUUCAGGGAAAAAAAAAAGGACGGCAGUGAAAAGCUUUGCCUAUUUGGGUACUCAUAGAAAAGAUCCAGCUUGUGUUCGUCACAGUCUGCAUGCAGGCUGAACUGCAAAUUUUUCUUUUGUUUAUUAUUAGUGGGUUCAUGCCUUACAAUCGCUAGGACUUGUAAUUACCCAACAAGAGGAAGGCCCAUGGGCCUGUUCGCAGCACCCAAACACCAAAACUGUACCCCUUUUAUAAGGGCAAAUUACACUUUACUCUCUUAUGAUUUAAUGUUAUUUGUACAUAAUCCCUAUAUAGUUUUAAAAACUGUAUAUAAUCCCCUCAUGAUUUUAAUUAAAGUGUCAAAGUGACGAAAGUUGAACAUUAUUUAUUAACCAUAGGGGGGUUAUGUGUAUAUUUUGAAAACUAUAAGAGGGUUAUAUGGUAAAAUAUUAAAUCAUAAGGGGGUUACAUGGUAAAAUAUAAAAUCAUGCGGGAUGGUUAGCGUAUCAUGCAUAUUAUGUUUGUAUAUUUUUGUCACUUCAACCAUUUUAAUUUUUAAAUAAGAGUAAUUAUGAUAUUUUCAUAGGUUCCGUUACGAAUAAUCAUUUUCGUCACUUUAACACUUUAAUCCAAAUUAUAAGGGAGUUAUAUAUAGUUUUUGAAAUUAUAGGGUGGUUAUGUUCAAAACCACUAAAACCAUAUGGGGAUAAAGUGUAAUUUGACCAAGAAAAAAAAAUGCCAUUAACCGUCUAGAUGAAUUAAUGCGAUUCAACGCCUCCAUGCCCUGAUAAAUUAUGGGUUGGAAUUAUUCAGAAAAUCAAAACUUGAAAUUACUAUGAUAACACCAGACCAGUAACGUAGCCUUCAAAGCCCAACUUUUUCAUUAUUGUAAUGCUUCAGUUACUCCAGUCUGCUGUGCUUUCAGCAAUUGAUGCAUUUCCGUAAGUGUUGAUUCGUACGCUAUUUUAACUAAAAUUUUUUAAAGUAAUUCAGGAAAACAUGAUAGGGACAAGUCCAUAUGCUAGAAAGAUGCAGUUUUUCAAGUUCGUACUUUGUAUAGAUAAUUUGAGUGACAUGAUUUUCGUUUUUUUUUUUGGGUACUAUCUUAGUUCUAUUCAAAAUGACUUUUUUCUGACAUUUUUUUUAUACGAGUAUGGGGCUGCUUUUUUUUUUUUUUUUUUUUGGGUUUCCUUCCAAAAUUCUAUUUAGUCUAAUAUAUACAUUACAGGGAUAUGAUUUAGCGGCGCUGCUUCAUUUGAGUUUGCGCACUCUGCUAGUUGAUCGCUUAGUCAAAAAAGUUCCAAUUGUAGUACAUGAUAUAUUAAAGAGUUUUGACUUUUUGAUUUCAUCAUCAACUUCUACAAGUAUUUUCUUGAGUCAACUUUAGGAGUAUGGCACAUGAUAUCGCCACAUGACAUUCAUAGACCUUUAAGAUGUGUUUAUACCAAGACAAGAAUUAGAGGAGAAGAAUAUGGACUUUCCCUAAAUUCAUCAACAAUUUAUCAUGCUCAAGUCCCAUUGAAACCGUCAAUAAAAGUACUGCAUACCAUCAAGGAUACAAAUACAAUCAAAUGAAUCUCAUCAACAUUUGGAUUUGCAAUUUUGCAGAAGCAAAAAGAGUGGCGCUAAUCCCCGAGCCGCAAGCGGUACAAGAAAUCUCCAGCAAUGGGCAAAAUAUACAGCACUUUGGAAAGCGAAAACACCCCCAAGAAAUCUUAACAGCUAUAGUCAGGUGUCCGUUAGGGUGUCUGGACGUGGGCAAGAGUGGCCUCUUGCUGUUUUGGGGCUUUGUCUUGUUUCCUCCAAAUAUCAAAUGUACACCCUCUGCUUUCCUCUCUAUCUGUUGUUGCUGUCCCAUGAAUCGUGUUCCAUAAGGCUGAUUAGCAGUAAUAUACCAAUUUUUCCUCAUCAGCUCACCAUCAUACCAUAUCUGGCCCUAUGGAAUUCUGAAUUCUAAAAUUCUAAUACUACUGCUGGAUGCUAAUGGGCAAUUUCUCUCUUUCUUCCAUUAUAACACGUACGUUCAAAAGGUCUGGACUAGUCUGGCUCAUGGAACGAGGUUAAGGUUCUUCCCUUUUCGCACCUCUCUUCCCUUUUGCUUGCUUCUCACAACUUUUUGAACUUACUGCCCAAACUGUUUUGUCCUUCCACGUUGUUCUAUCAUCUGAGAUGAUCAGCACUCUAGGAAUCCGCAGCUGGAGAGCGACCUAUGUUAGUAUCAGCUUAUUCUUUCCCAAUUUCACUGACGCUUCCUUUUCUUUCAUCUCUUGUUAAACUCUUCUGCUGAUUUACUUCACAUCUCUAUCAUCAACGCUGCCUUUCCAGUUCCCACCUCCUACUUAAUUCCCUCUCCCUCCUUCCAUCUUUUUCUCAUCGCAAUUUCCCAACUCCGCCAACUCUCAAAAGUCUCAUCUCUUCAGCUCUAUACUUUCUCUGAAAUGGGUAGCCGUCAGGGCCUCACAUACAGCAGGCUUCACCAUUUUGCCAUUUCUGUUCUCAUUCUCCACCUGGUUUUUAGCUCAUCCCACUUGAGAAUAUUGUUCAACGCUGAAGGUAAAUUUGUUUGCCAGUGAAAGCUUUUAAUUUCUCCCACUCAAUUCACCAAUUUUGAACUUCAGUUUCAAUAUGUUUUUUUUUUUUUUGGCUUUUUCUUCAGGUAGACCAAUAGCUAAAACUGUUAGCAAUUCAAAGAUAGGUUCGAGGCCGCCGCGGUGCGAUCGGAAAUGCAACGCUUGUGGGCACUGCCAAGCUAUUCAGGUGCCUACAAAUCCCCAAAUCAGAGACGGGCACCAGAAUUAUCCCAGAAACUCCACCACUACUGUUUCCACGAUUUUCCAUUCCAGAGGAGAUGAUUACUCCAACUACAAGCCCAUGAGUUGGAAAUGCAAGUGUGGAAACCUCAUUUUCAACCCCUGAUUUCUUUCUUCUUCUCUUCUUCUUCUUCUUUUUUUUUUUUUUUGAUUUUUUUGAUUUUUCAUGUUUUUGGUAAUCCUGUAUAUAAAUGAUAAUAUCAGUUCCUAAAACCAUUCUAUUAUCAGUUGGUUUUUGAGGAUGGGGACCUUUUUCUUCAAAGGAUUUCUUAACAUGGUACUUCCAUAAUUCCGUUAUCAGAUAAUCAGAGAAUACGUUAGUAGAAAUUUGUGAAAUGAUUAAGAUAUGGUAUUCCAAAGUCAUUGCCCGUAAGCUGAUAAUGGAAUCUGCUUUUGUGAUCAGAGAAUCUCUGCCUCCACCAUACUUGCUACUGCAGUACUGAUGAAUCAUGAAUGGUGACAAGUAAAUGCAAGAAGUCCGUAAAACUACUAAACGUGCAGGAACCAUCAAUGAAAACGUGUAGUUCUAAACAAAUCCGGCGGCAAAACUCCGGGUAGCGGAUGAAAGAUAAAAAGUAGCAGAGAGUUUGGAAUAUAUGUAGUCUGGUUACAUAGACGGUACCGUUAGGUCUCCCUAGCAUUGCCCUUCGCACUCAUGUUACUACAACUGUUGUUUCACUCUCCCUGGCAACAAGUGAACUUGUAGGAUUAUGGUUGGGCUUUGAGAAGAAAAGAAUUUCAAUAUUCAGGUCAAAGUUUUCCAGUAGGAUCAUUUGUUCAAACUCUCUUAAUAAGGGCCAAAAUUCUAUUUGUGUUAAUUAGCCAGUAAAACAACAAACUGAAGACACCAUCUUCAAAUCUACCACUAGUAGUAAAUAUUGGGAUGCACAAAACCGCAGAAUUACUAAUUAAUGAGGCAAAACAGUGGCAAAAAACUUGGACUACUUUAUUGUCUAAAGCAAUUCGAUAGAGAGCAAAAAGAGACAGAGAGAGAAGUUACUGCUGAUGAUCAUUAUCAUGAGGGGAAAGAGCAAUGAUAAGAAAGAACAGCGAGGAGAAGUGUUGAAGCCUGUAGCAGAGGAAAUUGUCAAUUACUACUGCUUGUCUUGCAAGGAAUUAUUCUAUUAGAGUACUUCUUUUUAGCUUUUCCCGUGGAGGAGUAGAAGUAGAAAGCAGCAGUGGUCCAAAUCUACAAGUAGGGUGAUCUGCUUGCUUGAGCAAAUUGUCAUCACCUACAUUAGCAGGUAUAGGCACCAGCCUUUCCCGAGAGGCUGCCUAGCUAGCAUAGGUUUUUGUUGGUAAAAAGUUGCAGAAAACUAGAUAAGUUGUUUCCCAGAGGGAUUCUACUCUCAAAGUGGAAGACAAGUUGGAAAAAGGUAAAAAUUAAUCCGCACAUACUUUGGACAUUGGAGCAUCAAUUUAGGUCACUUAGUAAAAUUCAAGUUCCGAAAUUGCGUGCAAUAGGGAAAAAAGAAUCCUUCAAAAAAAAAAUAAAAAAAAAAGAGAGGAAAAAGAAUUGGAACACAAAUCUAUGCCUAGUUUAGAUUAAUUUUUUUUUAUUAUAAAUGGAAGAAUUUGAAUUCGAAACCACUAACUUAUACUCCCUCUUUCCAAUCAUGCAACUUAUCUCUGCAAGUCCAAUUUCGAUGGAAUUUUUAACUGCAUUAAAGAAAUUUUGAUGCAUCCGCACUAAAGUUGUCUCUACCCAAUUAUAUGUUGACACAUCAUCAUCAUCAGUACUGGUUAGAUUUUUUUUUUUAAAGAAUAAUUAUCAUUUUUCUGGUAUCAAAAUUCAAACGGAAGAAUAGUAGUCGUACUACCAUUAGCACAAAGGGUAAUGCCCUGCAUUAUAUAUCCAGAAAACUUCCAAGUCAAGAGAGCAGUUUUUUUCACUGCGUAACUGGCUUCCUCCUCCUCGCUUGCUUAAUCUUCCCACCUCCUGAGUUAGGCACGAUAUUUCCUGAGUUAAGCACUCUGCACAUUUAGAUUGUGUUUGGAUUGCAUUUUUCAUGAUUUUUCAUAGAAAAAAUACUGUAGCGAUCGAUGUAUGUGAGGAAAAAAGGUAAUAGGGAAAUGUCGACGGAAAACAGCAAUCCAAACAAGGCCUUAUCUUGUACACAUUGCAUUUCUCCAAAUAAAUCACAUCCUCAUAAAUCCGCUUGAACUUUGAAGUUACAACUAUUAAGUUACAAUUUCCAAACGAUUCAAAAUGAAAUCCAGUUAAUUAUAUCACAUUCUUAAAAAGAAAAAAGAGUUGCUAAAAAGGUCUGGUAUCCUAAUUUAACCAUGCGAAAAAAUGUUGAUCUUGCAACUACCCCCGAUUAAACGUACGCCCGGCUCCUUUUCUCUGAUGAGCAAUAAAAUCUCGAGUCAGUAAUGAAUGCUUGCUACUAGUUCUCGAUCAUUGAGGAAUGCAUCACCAGCCCGAUGAAUAAGUUAAAAACUUUUUUUUUUUUUUUUUGUCAAAAGGUCAAAGUUAAAAACUUUUCAUCACAGAAAAAAGAAGCAACUUUUUUUUGGCCCAGGAACUGAAGAAGAUCAGAGAGUUGGUGAUGCAUUCCUUCGACAGGUGGCCAAGAGUGAUAGAAAUGUGACAAGAAAAGUUCGUUUGAUGCGUCUGUCCAAACAGUUACCAUAGCAGUGGAAGCAGAACCAUUCUAGCAGGUAGAUGUAGAUCUUUUAUUGAUGAUGAUAAUCAGGUAUGACGAGACAUUUAAUGGAAAAUGGGAAGAGUUCCCACUGCAGAAAUCUGUUAUUUCCGCUUUCUCAUCAUACAGGCGAAGACCGUCUGAAAAUGCGUAUGCCACUGUGCGGCAUGCAUGUCAAUAUGACAAUGCAGCUCAGGUUAAAUCAACUUUCUAACCCACUGUGGAAAAAGAAAAGAAAAAAAAAGCAAAGCCAUGCUACUGAACCUUUUCUUGUGUAGAAUUUCUUGUUUUUAUCUUAUCCGUUUCAUGGAUUCUCCUUCACAUCAGAAUCUGUUCCUUGAAUUUAAUCUUGCAGAUGAUGUCGUUUGUUGCGAAAGAAGCCCGUCCUCCAGACAUCUUCAAUAACAAGGUGGAUGUUUAACUUAGAAUAUCACGCUGGAAGAACGAUAAAAUCGAAUAAAUUCCGAGUAUCAACUGUCAACUUGGGAAUUCAGAUUGUGGUACAAAACGUUAGAUGAAACAAGACGCAGCUGCGAUGUCGUCCCAUGAGAUUGACGAGAUGAUCCAUCUCCAGGCCAGGGAAAGAUCGGCAUCAGAUUGUCAAGUGUGGACAAUCAUCGGGAACUAUCAUAUUAUAUCCGCAAAUGCAAAAGGACAACUUCCGAAUCGGAUGCGAUGAAGACGGACAAAUGGGAGUCUGUGUGGCGCAUGUGCUGCUGAGAUUCCCGAAACCUUUUUUGCUUCUUGUUUUGGGCUCGCUUUGCUUACGUUCUGGAUUUUUUUUUUUUUUUGCUUUUAUUAUCUGGGUAGUUUCAUUUCAUAACUUCUAAGUAAUUCAUCAGCUUGUUGCGACGGAAAUGACUGGCGUGGAUGGUAUCGAGUAAUUUACUGCUCAUCGUUCCACGCCAUGGAGAUACAUCAAUGGUACCGGGCAAGAAACUUAACCUUGCGCGGGCAAUAGUUCACAAGCUCAGCAAAAUGACAUGCAACAGACAAAGCUUUUUAUUUGAUCACAGACAAACCUACAUGUGAUGUGAUCGAGCUUCCAAAAGUACAAACAUUUUACUUCCUCUCAGCUGCAUGUUCCUCCAUCACCAGCGUACGUCCUACACCUAUUGCUACUGAAUGUCAAAGGGCUUCCUUCUUUUCCUAAAAGCAGGAGAAAUUAGCACUAUUAGCCAUAAGCCCCAUCAGCUAUAUUUUAAUCAUAAUAGAAUACUGAACUCAUCGAGCCAGCGCCACUGGAAAGAGGCUGAACAGGAAAGUAGACACAAGAUGGGCAGAAAACACCACAAGGCACCAAUUGCAUGUGAAGAAAGCACAGCAGCAAAACUUCCCAGGAAAAUUUUCCAUAACAAAACGGAACCCGACUCAUUGAUGCAGCACAGUAUAUUUCAUCCAACAAAAUCCAUUGAUCAGUUAGAAAAACAAAAAACAUAAGUUGCUGCUAAAUUUGAACCAUGUCAACGAUCAGAGCAUCUUCACCAGUACAACCAAAGAAGAAUAAAAAAAAUACCCUGGAAAUAAAAGAGGAUUUCCUACCAGAAGGCUAGACAGGUUUAAUCAGGAUCCACUUGUAAAGCAAAGACAUUAUUAUUUGUUCCUGAAGUUUCUUUAUGUCACAUUUUAACUCGGUUAAGAAUCAGCAAUUUAAAUGGAAUUCAUCAGAAAAUAAUCACCAAACCGAAUAUAGCCUUGACCUUCAUUAAUGACCAGAAUAUCUUUCUUGAAGCACCCAAUAAAGCAACAAGAGCGGAGAGAUUCGCUCAUAAACAAAGAUAAGCACAAAAGCAGAUGGAAAGUUGUUAACGAAAAGCUAGUUAAGACUUGAGUAUGAGGCUUCCUUCUAUCAAUGGUUUCCCGGGCGAAACCGGCUUAAAAACUCCUGUACUCGUGAACCAGCAAUAUGCGUGCUUCUCCAAAAUAUGAUUUUCAAUCUUUUAACUGCCCAGAAUUCCCAGACAAUACAGGCCAAACAGACAGCCAAUCUGCUGAGCCAAAUGGUGUCUAAAAAAGUAAAUUGUCAAGUACACUGCAAAAUCACUUCACUGAGGAAUUUAUUUCCAGGUUAAUUGAAAAUGUUAAAGGAAACCAAAAAAUUUGUCUUGGAGUACCAAGGCUGCAACAACUUGAAUAAUUCUGCAAUGGAAUUUCUGUCAUGGCUAUACACCUAGCUCCCAGUUAUCUUGAAACAGGGCGAAUAGUAUAGUCAUGAUUCUGUAUGCCCCAUACAAGUAUAUAAUUUUUGAAUCUUUGAAUACUUCUGCAACUGCUUUUUUGCAUGGUUAUACAACUAGCUCCCAGUUAUCUUAAAACAGAACAAACAGUAUAGUCAAGUAUCUGUAUGUCUGCAGCAGUUAAUAACAGAGCCAUUCUUCUUCUUCCCCCUCUCCUCCUCCUGCCCCCCUCCCAAAAAAAAAAAAAAAUUAUAUAUAUAUAUAUAUAUAUAUAUAAAAUUUAGUGGUAAGUGGUCUAGAAGUAAACUGCAGCGCCAAUUCUCAGCAGGCGUACGGAUGCCUAGUGUAUCCCCCUUGUAGUGAACAGAAAGCUGCUAUGAAUUGAAGUUGUCUGCACGAUGACCUUUAUAUCUAGGCUUUUUCCAUAAUUGAAAGAUGCCACAGAGUUGAAUUUAAAUCUUGAUAGGAACGAUAAAACAGAAAAUUUCUCAGCAACAUGCAGUUAAUACAAAUGUUGAGGCACAACCAGAGUUGAUGCACAUAGAUUUACAAGACCCCGCUGGUAGUAAAGAGAAGAACUUCAGAGAAGGCCAUUUGGGUGAUUUGUCAUUUCAUUUCCCGGUAUAACCCACCAAGAGGCAACGAUAAGAGACAAAAAUAUUACCAUACACAAAAGAAUUUGAAGAAAUUUAAAAAUCAACAAAAGUACACAUUGAAAGGAAUGUCAGAAGAACAUCAGCAUGUAAAUGAUGAUAUUGGUGAGGACACAGGCAACAGUUACUUCAUUACCUUAGCAAUACCAGAUUUUCCAAAAUUUACAGCAGCGAUAAUCCUUAAAAGAACACAAGCGCUGAUUGUCAAAGGGCGCAUCAAUUUCCAAAUAGCAGUCACCACAAAGCUCAAAAAGACCAACACCAGCAAGUAUACUGUAUGUAACUAUCUUCAUAUAUUCUCUAACAUACUUCAUAGGAGCAACUAUAGUCAUCCCACCCAUUUACUGUUCUUUAAGAAGUCACAACAGUGCAGCAUCAGUAGUUUCAAAUAACUCACCACCCAUCCAGCUUACAAAUAAGAAAAGUAGCUCAUGAAAUAUGUGAUUUCUACGUAAAUAAGCAUACAAUGAUAUAUCUGCGAUUUCUAUGCAAAUAAGCAUACAAUGAUAUAUCUGAAGCCUCAUUAAAAGCAUAUACUUAUGAUUCUGAUGAUAGCGAAAUUGCAACAUUAUUCACAUUGCCAAAAUUACAUCAUCCCCAUCAAAAUGCCAGACAACUAAAUACAUAUUACACAACCAUGAAACACCAUAACCAUCCAUCUAGUGUCAAAAAUUUUAGCAUUAAGCAACUACCUAUGAGUAUGAAUUGCAUCCAAAGAGUAAUGUCAGAAAACACCAGUGAGACGCCCAUAAGCCCAGGAAGUAGCUGCUCCAUGACACAUUUAGAGGUUCAGUUAUCGCAAGUUUGCAGCCUCAACCCAAUCAGUGCUGUGACCAUUGUAUAUUCUUCAAAUCUAUCCCAGCCUUCACCAUCUCAUAAAGAGGGCUCAUUUCCCUUAACUUCUCAACCUGCAUUACAGUUAGCUCCACAGCCCUGUCAAUCUCUUCCUCCGUAGUGAACCUCCCAAUCCCAUACCUAAUAGACGUAUGUGCCAUGUCCUCGUCCACACCCAAUGCCCUCAAUACAUAGGAGGGCUCCAAGCUCGCACUAGUGCAAGCGCUACCACUCGACACGGCGACCUCCUUCAACCCCAUCAACAAGCUUUCCCCCUCAACAUAAGCAAACGACAAGUUCAAAUUGCCUGCAUACCUCCUCUCCACGCUACCAUUCACUACCACCCCAUCAAUCUUAUCCCUAAUUCCAUUCAACAACCUCUCUUGCAAAGCCUUAAUCCUCUUGUCAUCAUACUCCAUUUCCUUCUUAGCGAUGUCACAAGCAGCCCCAAAGCCCACAACCAAGGGAGUUGGCACAGUUCCACUCCUUAUCCCUCUCUCUUGCCCGCCCCCAUUCAUUUGAGGCUCCACGCGGAUCCUCGGUCUGCGCCUCAUGUACAAAGCCCCAAUUCCCUUAGGCCCAUAAAUCUUAUGCCCGCUCAAAGACAUCAAACUGACAUUCAUCUUAUCGACGUCUAUGGGAAUUUUCCCCAAAGCCUGGGCAGCAUCGGUAUGAAACGGAACAUUAAAUUCCUUACAGAUUUUCCCAAUUUCCUCGACAGGUUGAAUCACUCCAAUCUCAUUAUUAACCAUCAUAACCGAAACUAACCCCGUGUCGGGCCGUAUCGCGGCCCGAAGCUUAUCCAGAUCAACGAGCCCGUCAGGUUCAACAGGAAGAUAAGUUACCUCAAAACCCUCUUGCUGGAGGUGACGGCAGGAGUCCAAGACGCACUUGUGCUCCGUCUGGGUAGUGAUGACGUGGCGCUUCUUAUCCUUAUAAAAAUGCAAAACUCCCUUGACGGAGAUGUUAUUGGACUCGGUGGCGCCGGAGGUGAAAAUGAUCUCCUUAGGGGAGGCGCUAAUUAGGUCUGCCACGUGGGUACGGGCAGACUCGACGGCCUGGUCGGAUUCCCAGCCGUAGAGGUGGGUCCGGGAAUGAGGGUUGCCGAAGCGGGAGAGAUAGUAAGGGAGCAUGGCGUCGAGGACUCGAGGGUCCACCGGCGAGGUAGCUUGCAUGUCGAGGUAGAGGGGUCUUCCGGAGAUUUUUACGCCUUUCACCGUAAUUCCUGAUGUGUCUUCUUGAUAGGGUUCAGCAACGGCGGCAGCAGCGGUGGAGAAGGGGCGGAGGAUUGUGGGUUUUAAGAUCGUGCGGCGGAGGGCGGUGGUUAAAAGCUUCGACGGCAUCGUUUCGAUGUAGGCUUGUGGAACGCUCACCUCAGACAGCUGUGUAAUGAGUCUGACUGCGAGGUCCUGCGCCAAAUUUGUGGGUGGGAGCUUCGACCUUUUAUUUUGAAGGUGUUGAAAUUAAAUCAGAAAAAAAAUAAAAAAAAAGGGUUUAUCUUUAUCAAGGAAGGGAGGGAGGAGAUAGAAUGGCGGCGUUGUGAAAGAAGCCUAUGUGGUACUACUGGAUCACCGCCUCACCGACGAUGCGAUGCGAUGCCUUUACAUUCUCACUAUAGUAGGCAUUAUAUUGAGCAUUGACUCAAGGAAAUAACAAUAAAAUCGUUCGUAAUGGAGUACGGCACAAGCGUCGUCGUAUUGGGCUACAACGACAGCGUUAAAGCAAAUACCCACCAGAGAAUUAAUAAUAAUAAUAUUAAUUGUAAGGCUGUCAAAAGACAACAGAUACUUUACAGUUUACUUUACGCCUCCUGGGUUUCGUCCGCAGAUCCAAUCUAAAAUCGGGGGAUUGAAUUUGAGGGAGAAGCCAAAGAAAACCAAAGAAUAAAAACAACAACAAACCUCUUUAGAAAGUGUUGUUGAACCUUUCUUAAUGCCUACCUGACACCCACCACCAUUGUUAACAACGAACCACUGGUAAACCUUUCCUUCAUAUUGAUUGGCAAUACAUACGAGUGGUAGAUCCUUUUGCAUUAUUCUCCUUUCCCUUUAAACCUAAUCAUUCAUUCAUUCUUUUCAGUGGCCUUAGUAGUAGUAGUUAUUUAAAAGGAGACAACUUUCGCACCAACAACAAGCCUUUUGCUUCUUCUUUCUUUUAGUAUAGGACCAGGUAUGGCUUGCCUUUUCCUUAGAGAUCUCGUCUUUUUUUUUUUUUUUUUUCAAUUCAUUUUUGGCGUUGGAAAGUUUGCACGAUCAUGGGGGGUCUUGACUCUAUAUUUAUCUAGCGUUAAAUGUACGUGUUUGCUAUUUAGUUGAAUGCAGAUCGAUAUCAAUAUAGUAUCCUAUCCGGGAUGUGAUCAUAGCUAUACGCAUUGCUUCGAAUCAAUUGUUUCUUGUAUACAUCGCUCCGGCCUUGGUUCAAACUGGUAUAACAGUUAAAAUGAUAUGAUAGUUAUUUCUUGGUCGAAGUCUUUCCAGCUGAGCUGCUAUCUAUGUGUUUCCAAAUAGAUAGUCUGGACUCUGGAGACGCCGGAUUAUUUUCUUAUGAAGGAAAUGGAUUCACGCUCCUGUUUUGUUCUUUGUAGCUUAUUUUUCAAUAAUUGGGUCGGUCGGAUAUGGGGUGUGAUUUGUCUGUUCUUUGGUGGCUGCGUGCUUUGAUAACCAGCAUGAUAGUUCAGACCCAAUUUGUGUGAGUUGAAGUUACCAUCUGCGUUGCGGGCUCUGAUCUGCGGUGUUCCUAAGAGAAACAAUUAUGCUAGUUGAGUUUCUAUGAGGUACCUCUGUUCGUUAAGUUUUUAACUUGCCUCAACGAUUGAUGAUUACAGCCUGAAUGUGCGUAAUUGCAUUCUGGUGCUACUUAGAUCCGCAUAUACCCAAGUUGGAUCCUCUGUUAAUUGUCACUCUCUUCACUAUAUCUGGAGUUGUUAGUGAUUAUAGAUAUCAGACUUUCUUAAGAAAAAAAUAAUAAUAAUAAAAGACAUCGGACUGCAGCGGGAGAAUGUGGUUGCCGUGAUCUGUUGGCCUCUCGCACUUGCCAUACGAAACUCCAUUUCUUUUUGAGCAUCAGAGUGAUUGUCAUAGCCAUUUGCGACAUGUUACUUGGAUGGUGUUUAAUUCACUUAAUUUCAGAGGUUUUUGAGCAUCUAAUCCAAGCCUGAUUUCUUAUGUUCUGAAUGUUUACCAUAAUUCUCCUUAAAAUUAACAGUAAUUCUUUCUUUUGUAGAAGUUAAAAGAGUUGGGACAGCUUGUAGCUUCUGGAAGCUGCUUCAACUGAAGAUAUAGUACAACAAUAAAAUCACAAUGUUCAGGCUGUCACCUCGGAGGAAUCAGAGAAAUAAAGGUUUUAAGGUGAAGCAUGCCCUGCAGAUAUGUGUGCUAGUUGGUGUUUGCAUCUGGCUGCUUUAUCAGGUCCAGCACUCCCGUAGCAAAAAGGCAUCAUAUGGAGAAAGCUCAAACAUUUUGGAGAAGGUACAAAAAUUUGGGAGAAAAGACAUCCAACCAAAAAAUAUUGAAAUGAUAACAGAGGAUGAGAAUCAAAAGGAGGAACGAGAAGAAGCCAGUAAACUACUUGAAGAUGAACUCAAGCCCGGGGAAAAUGAUCAUGAUCGAGACAAACUGGGAGAGGAAGGAGAAAAGGAGACAGAAAGUACAGAGCAAGAAGUGAAAGAUGAAGAGAAUGGAGAGAACAAAGAUGCAGAGGGUGAAGGGGGAAAUGAGAUGCAAAAUCAAGAGAAAGAGAAUGAUGGAAAUAAAAAUAACGGUGAGGAGGAGGAAACUAGAGAAGACGACCGGGGAAAGCAUGAUGAAGAGCAAAGUGGUGAGGAGACUGGAGAAAAUAAAGAAAAUGGUGGCGCAGAGAAGGAGAAUGAAACGAAGGAGGAGAACAAUGAGAAUGCUAAUGAAGACACACAAGAAAAUGGAGCUGAGCAGAAAGGUAAUGAGGAAAAGGAUGCAAAAGAAGAGAAUGGGGAAAAUGAAGAGACCAGGGAAAAUAAGAAUGACCUGGAUGGAGGUGAAGAGCAGGAAGUGAAGGAGCAGGUUAACGAUGAGAGCAAGGCAACAGAAAAGGAAGAGAAGAAACAAAUAGGCAAUGAAGAUCAAGGUAGAGAGAAACAGGAAGACCAUGAAGUGAAGGAACAAAAAGAAGGUAAAUCUGAGGAAUCACCAGAUGAGAAAGUUCAUCAAGCAAAUGAGCAGACAAACGAAGCUGCUGCACGGGAAAACACCAAUGGUUGGAAUGCCCAGAGUGAAGACGUUCAGGAUUCUCAAAGUAUGAAAGACACUGAGAAAGUAAAUAAGGAAAACGUAAAUGGGGAAGAACAGUCGACUGAGAAGGUCCAGGACAAGUCUGAAGGCAACAGUGAAAAUGUGACAGGGGCAAAUAAGGUACACGAUAAUGAAUCAGGUUCAAGUGCAAAAGAAGGUGAGUCAAAUGAACAGAACAGUCCAUCAACUGUUGCGACUGAUGAAGGCAAUGACAGUGAAAACACACAGCAGGGAUCAGCUCACGAUUCCAAUUCUGCAGAAGGAAGGAGGGAAGCUAAUCAAGAACAAGGCAACGGCAAUGAGACAACACAGCAGGAAUCAGGGGAAUCUUCCAAUCCUACAGAAGGAACACAUGAAGCUAAUGAAAAGCAAGGCAAUGCCAAUGAAUCCACGCAGCAAGGAUCAUGGGAUAACUCCAAUCCCACAGAAGGAACAAAGGAAGCUAAUCAACAGCAGAGCAUUAGCGACAAUUCUAAGGCUGAUGCUGAUCAAAACCAGAGAAAUGCUGUUGGUGAUGUCCUUCCUGGGGGAGAUGGUGCGCAGUCUACUCAAGAGGAGCAAACCGAGAACAAGGAUGCUGCAACAAACAAUGACAAAUCCGAUACAAGUUCAAAUAUGAAGGAGGGCUCAGCAUAUGGAGAAGGUUCAAAUGAUGUGGGUAAUAGACAAAAUGCUGGUAGCGAUACUGUUGGGGGUAAAGAGAAAAGUUCAGAAAAUUCAUCAGCCAAUCAGGUUAAUGAAAAGGUCGAGAUCCAGAAGUCUGAUGCUCAUUCUGAAACAGGACCGGAAGAAAAGAUUAACCCUUCAAAUGACAAUGACAAUACUGAUUCCAGUGAAAAUAGAUCAGUAGAUUCUUCUGGUUCCUCGAGUGCUACUAAAGAGGAGGCAUCUUCAAACUCAAAUGAGAAUGCUGACGCUGAGCAGAAUAGCAUGGUUGACUCAUCAAGUUCUACAAUUCCCCAAGAAGAGAAAGAGGCUCGCACUGACCUUGAAACUUUGCCUGAGAUGGGAAAUGAGGGAACUAGUCAAGAAGAUGCAGUCGCUUAGUGAUGCUACAUAUUAGCCUUUUGUGAACUUUGAAGCUUUUGUUGCAUUCUUUGCUUCCUUUCAUGGUUAUUGCCAGAACAAUUGUGGAAGUAUGUACACUUCGUUUGAUGACGUUGAUGCUGGUCAUUUGUUGUGGACCAGAACCAGGAAAUGCAAGUAAUGAAAUGAACUAAAAUGCAAUGAAUCAAUAGACUGCAAAAGUCUGAGCAACUCAAACGAACAACUCCAUAUUCAUUGAUAAGCUUCAGUAAAGGAUUACAGAAGCAGAAUGGCGGGAAAGAACAUAAGGGGAAAGAGAUUGAAGGAAACCGUGGGGAGGGGGAAAACGCAGAGAGGAUAUUCCUUCUCUGAUUACAAUAUCAAAUUUGCAAAAGGUUCCCUAACAAUUACAUGAUCCUCACGGUUUAUACAACUGCCAUUCUAACUGAUUUUCAAGUGAACAAAUGAGCUUCCAACACGUGUCCAACAGAAUCUUCUAGCUGAACUGGUCCCCAACUGGCUGAAUCAACGUGAACCCAGUAAAGGCGUGCUCUUCUACUCACGCCUUCUUGUCUCUCAGCUACUUCACGCCUUCCCAAUGUUUCCUUCCUACUCCUGCAUCCGCUGCCGCUGACAUCAUUACAUCAUUCGGCCAAAAAAUUUGUAGCCAACGUCAUUGUUAUUAACAGCCUUGAUCGUGUAAUACUACGGAACUGCGUUGCUCAUGUUAUUAGUACUAAUGCAUUGUCCUCAUUAGCCUACCCAAGCUUUCGUUGUAGGUUCUUUGCUUGCUAAUUUGUACUUCGCACUCGUCGACAAAAAUUGAUCCAAGCUUACAUUUGCUCAUCUCCUGGCCGUGCUCUACAAGAAUCGCUUAUGGGUUUUGUGCAGUCGCGUACAUUUCCAGGUUACUAUCCUGACUAUUCAAGUUCUUCCUUUUCUUUUCAUCUUGGACCGCUAACUGCUUCGAUUUGAAGCGUCCAUACAUUUAGACUAUAUUUCUUUCGGAAACCUUUUUUUUUUUUUCGCAACGAUAACAUUUAUAUAAUCUACUCUAAUCUAAUCUAAAAAGAAGGAGAGUCUAAUCGACGAAAAAACCCAUCAAGGGACACCACUUGAAAGUGACAACCAUAGUUAAGUGACAAGCAUAUUUGUUCGGGAACUUAGGGAGGAGAAAGCAGGCAAACACAGCUUUUUUUUUUCUUUUUCCGUUGGGCAAAUAGCUUAAUAAGUUGUACGUUUUCAACACUAACAGUCCCUACCAUUGCUCAAGUUCUGAAAGCCACUUUAAUCAACCACGGCUAAACAAGGCAUCUAGACUCGUUUGAGUAAGAACAUAUAAUCCGUCCCUCUCCCUUCCCCCUCUCCCAACGAAACCCCGCUUUCUUUUGCCAGUCUUGUGGCGGCAGGGGGGCACAAAAUUCUGCGCCCAGUUAUAUGCAAGGCCAGCAACUCCCCCCUACCCACCCACCCACCCAACCAAAAGAGGAAAAAAAGAAAGGGCAUGUGCCAGAUGAAUUGCAUCCAAAACCAAAACCCAACAUGUAUCCCAGUGAAGCAUGAUGGCAACAAUAUCGUCAAAUUUAUUUGAAUAGAGCAGAUUGCAAGAAACAAAAUAAAAAAAAAUGAAACACGAAAUUUGAAAGCAUGCCAAAAGAAAACAUCUGCUCGUUUCAAAACGUAACUAAAAUAACACAGCCCGUUAUAAUGUCCAAGAUAAUUUUGACAAUACAGCCUCCAAUGAUGCCAAAGCAAAGAUGAACAACCAUUAUUCGACUCCUUCAGAUUACGAUCAUCAGACAUCAGUGGUGCUUCUCCUCAAAAAGACCAUCUGGACCUACAAUCAUGCAUAACGUGUCAAAUUUAGUUAAAGUGUAUCUCAGCAAUUAGUAGUUAAAAUGUGUUCACCCAUCUUUCUACUAAACAACUAGCUUAAGAAAUCUAAUCUGAUCUAUGCUGUACAUGACAGUGUAUAAAAUAACUUCCUAGGCUUGCUAAAUCCUCUGUUGUGCUUCUCCCCAUUUCAAUAAAUGGAGGAAAGUUUCAGUGGUUAAACUUAAAGAAUAAAACAGGGAUAGUUACAAUAACAGGGUUGAGAAAAAGCACAAGCAUAAACUGGAUAAUACGGCCCAAAUAACUAAGCUACAAUAUAUGCAUUACAUAAAUCUCCCCAAGCAUCUAAAACCUCACUAGACCAAGCAUAUGUUCUCCUGAUCAUGCUUGACCAAAAAGCACUAAGACAGCUACAGAAGAUGGAAGUUGAACCUCAAAAAAUAAAACUGAGAACUGCUAUAGCGGUCCCCAGCUCUCUACAAUAUCUUUUGUGAAACCUUGUUAUUUACGUGAAGCAAUUAAGCCUUAAAUUCAUCCUACAACACAAUAACACUCAUGCAUUUUAGAGAAAAAAAAAAUUGCAAAGGCUAUUCCAGUACUGCAGCACAGUAAACUGUAAGCAUGUAUAAAAAUAACUGAGGAAGCACAUGUAGUGAUAUAUGAGAAGCAUUACUAGGAUUUAAUAUUGCACCAAUCCGAUUUCGAAUAGAAAAUACAAUUAAACUUCUAAUCUGAUCCACCUGGAAAAGCUUGUGCCAAUAAUAAAUAUACAUUUCAGUUGAAGAUUGAGUCCUCAUUGUGUUAUAGGGAUGAAAUGAUGUGCUUACAACUUUUAAGGAACAGCACUACUCAAUAUUCAGGGAAAUAUUUUCUUGAAAACUUCAGAAAUCAUUACAACAACUCCCCAAACCAAAUCACUAUUUGUAUCAAUGAACAAAUAAAUUCGGUUAGCUUUUGUUGGAUGAAAAAAUGAUCGAGGGGCGCCCCAAUUUAUACUAGUGACGCUGAGGCAUGGAAUGCAAGAGCCAAGUUGUUUGGUUUUCUUGAAUGAGGAGGAGGCUAUGGCAUCCAUUCAAACUUCAAACCAACGUGAGAAUUAGAAUUUUGCUAGAUGAAGGAAUUCAUGCGUAUGAACUGGCGAGGCUGGUUCUUGGCCUGGGAAAAUUAAGGUCAAGAGAUGAGAAAUUAAGAGAUUGCGAGUCCAAGUUGUGUAGCAUUAUUAUUCAUGGGUUUUACCAGAUGCCUGCGUUAUGGAAAAUCCUUAACCUCGUGACCGUGCAGCCUCUCUGAAGGCUGAAUAUUUGAAUUCAGCACUUGGACUCUUAUCGUCGCCACACCAAUUGGAAUUUUGUUUGUUAUAAUUGACAUCGUAAAUUCAUAUUUACAAACUGCUAAAAGUUUUUUCACUAUCUAAAAUUGUGUUUACUGAGAUUUCUUCGGCUGGUCAACUACGUACAAGUGUAGCUAUUCAACUUGCCCACAUCAACAUCAAGCUCCUCAUACCUACACCGGACGGCAUCCACGACUUGUUAAUUAUAUUCCUUAGGAUCUAGCUGCUAUUGCCUAUUAGUCAAUAGUUCGGUAACUUCGUUAGGGAACAUCGUUCACAAGUCAAAGAAACAUUUUAAUGUAUCUCGAAAUUUAGAGUUCUUCUGACACUCUAUGGACUUAUUCACAAGAAUCUAUUAGAGUUCUUCUGCUCUUAACUUUUCUUUUCGGAUCUCUCAACUUUUGGGAGGCAUUAUGAGUGUUAACCGCUAAUUAAACCAUCCCAUGCAUGAUUGGCAAACUCAUCCUUGACGCCCAAGUUCUGCCAAACUCAUGCAUGACUUGUAUUUUUUAGUCGAGCGAUUCAGCCAAGGGGAGGGCUAAAUGUACAUUUUAAAUUGCAAUAAGGAUGACUCGUCUUAUUAGCAUCGAAACUUGCGCAAUGCGUAAACAUAGAAUGAAAAAACAUAAUAGCUUUAACAUCUUCUUUUUAACUUGAUUAUGAGACCUGAAGAAAGAAGGUAAAUUAAAGAGCUAGAAUGUGUGUAGUUUCGAUAUAAUUAUAAACUUUAUCUACUACUUUCUCUCACUCUCUAUGGGUUGGGUACUGCUGGCUGGGACGUGCCCAUUUCAAGUACAAACGUCCAACAACCAACUAUUCUUAAAGUAGCUGACUGCUGCGUUCUAAAGACUCUAUUCGAUAUAGGUCAAAAGAUUGAAUUUCUUGACCAGCAUUCUAAAAAUUCAGAACUUGCUAGAAUGUUUCGCUGGUGGGUGCGUAGGCAUUCAUCAGGACUAAUAAUGAUUUAAUCCCCUUGAAUUCUCUCCCGUUGGGUCAUUCCCCUUCUCAUAGUAUGAAAUAGAAAUAGGCUCCUUGUUACAGUAUAAAAUAUGAAUAGGUCUAUUGUAUCUAGGAAAAAAAAAAAAAAAGGGGUAUGAACGUCCAGCAGAGGGACUCAUGCAAGUAAUUUCAUCAGUCCAACAUAUAUAUUUCUCUCGUGGAUGUAGCCAUCGGAUCGUAAUCUCAGUCAUGUAUCGUUCCAGAAAAUCUCAACAAAGCAAUAGCGACUCUUCAGAUUUUGAAUUUAGAAAUGUACUCAGUCCGUCGUCCGCCUUGGGAAUUAUCAAGCUCAUCUGGACUUUUCUUGUUUAGCAUGUACGGUGAAUCUAGCCAAAAAUGUGACCUUUCUUGUCCUAACUCCUAACAUUUCAGGUUUCUUCAUCCUCAGACACGCGGUGGCUUCCAAUGCGAAUAGCGACCCUACCAUACUAAGAUUCUAUUCAUUUUCUAUGGGAAUUGAAAUUUCACCUCCCGCAAAAAAAUUCAAGAGUGAUAUCAAAAUAUUCUUUUGAUCUAAUAAAGUCUAUAUACCUGUUAAUCCCUUAACACAAAUCUCUUUAGGUUUCUACUCUCCUCUAAAUUAAGAUAGAAUAGAUUAUACAAUUAUUGUUGUCGAAAAAAAAAAGAGAUAAAAUACUAGAAUUCGAAUUCUAAGAACAUAAAAAAAAAUUGUUUUUGGGGGAAAGAACAUAAAGAUUAACCAUAAAUUUUGCUUACAUCUUUUAACUAAAAUUAUGUCCUUGUACAUUUCUUUAUGAAUAUCAAAAGAAAUAAUAUUGAUAAUAAUGAAAAUUCAAAGGAUGUUCCUACAUUGCCUCGGAGUGUCUGUCAUACGUUAAGAAACUUGAGAAAUCUCGGAAAAUAUACAAAUUCAUAAACCAAAAAAAAAAUGAAAAAAUAUCGAAAGAUAAGAAAUGAUUAGAUGUCCAACUUUUGCGAGCAAGUGCUAGCAUAAAAAUUGUGUAUAUAUGGUGGAAAUUUGUGGAUUCCUCCCGACAUCAGCUUCGUCACAUUCAGCCUAAUUAUCCAGAUUCUUCCUCCAUCGCUUGAUGGCAUCGCCAGGAAUUGAGUUGAUGAUAACUGAAAUCAAUAAUAUAUACAAAAAUUUUAGCCGCUAAACACUCUCUGCAUGUACAACGAAUUCACAUGCAUGCAUUGAAGUGUUAUUAUUAUCUAAUCUCAUAAUUGAAAAUUUUAUUUACAAUGACUACAAGAAUCCCACUUUCCAAGAACAAUUCUCAUUGAGUUAAAAAAAAAAAAGAAAAAAAAUUAAGGGAAAACAAUAGAAAAGCCGAUCGAUCGAUUGGGAGGUCAAUGAAUCCAGACACCCCCAUGGAACUGUGGCAGGCAAUCACGCCUUGAUAGAGUGCAUGUUCAUUUGACUCUCCUUAGUAGUAGUAGCAUUAGAAUUAUUUUUCUGAUCGUGUCGAAACUCGAACCAACAAUCUCCAUCAGGUGGUGGAGGAUCAGGAUCGCCCAAAUAAUCCUCCGGAAAACCAAGCGACUCCAUCACAUCUUCCCCGCUCCACCCCCACGCAACAACCUCUUAGACAAUACCUUCACGUGCCAGACGAUCCCUUCCUUAUCAAUCAACGCAGCGUUCUUAUCAAAGCCAUUUCGUCCGGUGCAGUGAUCAUCAUCGGUCUCAUCACAGCCGUCCAUCAUCAUCAUCUCCCUUACAUCCUCUUCUUUCCACCCUCCGUUCCUCAAUCUCCAAAACACCUCCUCCAAGCACCCCCCUAACUCCCCACUCCACCACCUGCGCGUGCCACCACGCGCCGCCAGCCUUUCCCCCUCUCCACCAACUCCGACCAUACCUCGAUCCUCCUCGGCUCAGUCGCGGCCCAGGCCGGCGUGCUGAAUAAUUUGGACAAGGUGGGCCUUCUCAAGAUGUCCUCGUUCGUCGUGAAUUCCGCCUGCUGGAAGAAUCCGGCUAUAUCGAAACUCCACAGCUGAACAUUCCCUCCAUGCACGUAAAACACGGGAUUCCCCGCCAUACACGGCGUCGAAGGAACGUAGAAAUGCCGGUACACCGGAACAAGAAACGGCGCAUUUCUCAUGAAUCCUUUACCUAAAUUCACAGCUUGAUCAUCAUCUCCUGGCCUUUCACCCCAAGAAUCGAGCCACAAAUGGUUUCUUGAUAUUUCCUUGCAUACACCUGAGACGGGUAGACUGGUGAGGGCCUGAAGUUGUUGAACGGAGGAGGAUGAUCGCCAGUUGGGGAAGCGGGGCCCACAGGGAGGCCUUCUUGGAGAAUAGAACGUAAAUCGGGGGGAAAUGUGAAAUUGAAGGUGGAUUCAAUGGAGGAUAAUUCGGCGUCGGUGAGGCCUUCUUCAAUGGGAAUAUCGGAGGAUUUUAGGUAAUGAAUGAGGUUCUUGGUGUAGGCUGCAAAUGAAAAACAAACCCGCAUGGUUUUGGAUCGGUGACCGCCAUGGUUAAUGGGCUCAGCGGUGGUUCGACGAGUAGUGCUGCUGCCAUUGAAUACGAGUACUUGGGCUAAUAUUGAUUGACAACAACAACAACAACAGUUGCAGAUAACACGUGUUAUGGAGUAGAUAAUGCAUAUGGAAGCAAGCCAGUAAUGGUAAUUCAGAUUUGAGUUUCGUGUUUAUCCACACUGGCAGGCCGGGAUAGAGUAGUUAGAGCAUAUAAGGGAGGAAAAAGUGAGUGAGUUUUUACGGGAACUUUUGAUGCUCUAUUCUCACAACUCCUCUCAUCUGAUGUCGGGACUCUUGAGACUAUUUCAAAGUAACAAUGAACUGAAGCGAUUUGUUUUGGAAUUUUGAGGGCACAAAAAUGCAAAAUGGGGUCUCUGACUAAUCAUGGAAUUGAUACGUGAAGUCUUUGCUAACUUGGCAUGGUUGUAAUGCACAGUCCAAAUGUCACUUCUUCCUGAUGAUCCAAUAUUUUGUAGGAGAUUUGGAGUCUGGCUGAAGUGCUGAACCAUGCGUUGUCAAUCAAGUUGGGGUUCUCAAUUGUUCUUUCACAUAUUUCCUUGCUUAUGGUCAGAGAUGCGGCUUUACUAAUCAGUACGAGGGCGGCCGGCAGCCUAAUUCAGAUUUAUAAGAAGAAAUUUUGUGCUAGUAGUUUAUAUCGGGAAAUCAAAAGGUUCAGAAAAUUCUAGCCGUCCAACCAAUAGUAGGCUUAGUCGCUACAGAGAAAUAUCAGGAAUUGUUAAUUGGUAUCAGGUAAGCAACUAAUUUAUAGAAAAUGUAGUUGGCUUAUGAGAAAUUUUCAGUUGCAUAAAAAAAUCAACCUUAACAACAAGACAUUUGUUAUUUGUUUCACCAGCUGUUAUAAUACAAAUGUUCAAAUUUUAGGCACCGACCGCCCUUCUCGAUCACCUUCCCCUUCGUCCGCCCUCUCCUUGCUGUGAGGGAUCAAGACCAUAUUAGUGGUGGCAUACUGCUUUAUAACGUAAUCUUUUAUAUUUGGAGGAAAUAGAGAUAAAAAAAAAUGUUAUCAAGGAGAAUUGAUGCAAGUGCUUCUAUAUAUUUAUGCAGUCGUCGAUUAACUUAGAAGUAGCACCUAUUCUUGCGCAUUUCGUCAUUUAGCUUCACUUUGAAUAAGAAAAAUGAAAAGGCAGUCGAUAUUAAUUUGUUACAAUUCAAAUCUGAAUGCCAUGAGCAUUCCUACACCAUCCAUCUCCUCAAUUUUUUACUACUAUAUUUAACUUGACUUUAGAAACAUUUUAUGGUAAAUUACUGUGACGUUAGAACUUGAACUUUGAGAAUAGCACCAGCCAAAUAAAAGUCGUCCGAGACAUCUCAGCUUCUAUCACAUUUAUAAUUUCCUUCCAUCCAAAUGAAGAGAAUUUUCUUGUCAUCUGCUCCUUGUUGGAAUUACUAUGGAAGCAACUCAGAAUUGGAGAAAAGGAAUUCGCCUAAAAGGUUCCUAACCACCAUAAUCUUGUCGAUAGCUUGUCUAUUGCUUUGACCGUUUCUCCUCCUUCUUCUUCUUCUUCGUAUCCCCUUUUGCGCGACACGUUAUUUCUGAAAUUGGGAGUCUGUUUCUUUCUUUCUAGAUAAAUUGAGGACCGUGUUGAUAAUUACGUUUUGGCAAUCCUGAUACUUAACCUAUACAUAGAACCAUUUAUGUGCUCUUACUUUUCUAACAUUCUAUACAGAUCUCUUAAAGAGCCUGGAACACGGCUUUUUGACGAAUGACUCGAUGCUUGGGAUUUUUUUUAGGACACGGUGGAAUCUAUUUUAGACAUGCUCCUACUUUAUACUAGAGGGAAGGAAGGACCCGAAGAGAUCCGCUAGGACACGAUGGAAUCUAUUUUAGAUAUACUCCUACUUCAUACUAGAGGGAAGGAAGGACCUAAAGAUAUCCAAGAAGAACUUGGAGGGGACUAAUUACCGGCUCAAAUGGGUAUCUUCUCCGUUUGACAUGCGGCUGUGUUUACACGGAUGCUUACCUUCACAAGAUCGAGUUGCUAAUAAGGCACAAAACAUACAGGUUAAAUUUAAACUCAAUUCUAUCAGUAGUUCUUCAAAUGGAUGCAAAAUUUUCGCACAAGUAUGUCCAACAUUGUCAAAUUUCAAGGACCUUUCACUGGUCAAGCAUUAUCUUCUGCCCCCGAGCUCUUGUCAUUCUCCGGUUCUUGUUUUUUCAUCAUCAACUAAUUCAGCUUCCACAGUUUGAACAACCGAUCCAUCCUCUUUGUUCCCAAAGUUCCAGCCAACGACAGCUUUGCUUUCCUGUUCUAGAAUAUUCAUGUUGUUAUGGGAUAUUUGAGCUGUAAAAUCCAGCAAAUCUUUUCCACAUUCUUCAGGGGAGGUAGUUGAUGUCCAGAGCAAAUUUGCAUUACAGGUCAUCUCCACAAAGUUUCCAGAAGAAUUACUUUCUCCAGUCCUAUAAACAUUCUGAGAUGAAUUUGUAAAAGAAGUGGAGCCCCCGUGUCAUAAUUCUUCAACUCAGGCUUGAUGGAAGCCUUGCUAAUUAGGACUGCAGAAUGAUGAUCGGAAAUGGUGUCGCAUAAUCCGCUGCUACAUGGAAUCUCAAGACUGCCACUAGAAUUGAUGAAAGGAAUUUUAACCUUUCCAUCGUUUGUAUACUGCACAGAAGGCUCAUUUUCCACUUUUUUUAAAAUCACUUUCUCAUAGUGUAGUUUUUCAGUCUGACAAAGAGUUUCAAGUAGUCCAGACUUCCUAUUCCAAAUUCGAGGGCAUGAAGUAUCUGUUGAUGGCAACCUUCCAUCUGGGGUUACCAGUUUCUCCAGCCUUCCUCUCUUUGAAGUCUUUGCACCUGAAGAAACCCCAGUUGCAGUAGUUGUUCCCUCUUUUACAACAGGUUUUAGGCACAAUACGUCUUCCUCAAGCUUUGUUAACCGGCCCUUACAAUCUGCCAGUUCAGAUUGCAACUCACCAACAAUCUUCCGUAGGUGAACAUUCUCCAAAGGCUGUUGCCCCAAACACCAAAGAGCAAAAGGAAAAAACAAACAAUGGCAUCAAGGUAACUUACACCACAGAGUAAAGAAUGGGCCACAAAGAAAUGUAUAUCCUAGUAUCUUACUUGAGCUUCCCAUGGUUGCUGGUGUAUCAGAGAGAGUUUUGCGGUUGGUCUCAUCGUACUUCCCUGGUUUGAUGUGGUGGAAGCCGAUGAAGAACCGGGUAUUGGUGGCUGAAUUGGAGAGAAAUAAGGACAGUGUCCAGGGAAGGCACUGCUAUGAGGAGGUAGUAGAUGUUGUGGAAGGCUCAACCAAGAUGAAGGAUCCCAAGGGCCUAUUAAAUAUUAACAAGUAAUAUCUUCUGCAUUAGUGGCACAUAUAGCACUACAUCAGAAUUAAUCAGCUAUGAAUGAUCAAAUUUAACUAUGUUUAUUCUUGAACUACUGUUAGAAUGUAUAUGGCAUAUUUGCAAAUAUGGCCGUUGAAAACAGCAAACAAUUAGUCAAAACACUCCUCAGUACUUCUUUGACACCUCAACAGACUUGAUCCCAAUACCACGACCUUCCAAGCCACAUUCUCUGGGUAAAUCAAAUUUGUUCUGGAGAACUUGUCAGAAACUUCCCACAAUGUCAAGCGUGAAACAGAUUGAUUGUGACAUUAUACCUGGAAAGCCUGGAUAUGGGUAGCCAACAUGGUAACAAUAGCUAGGACUCUGCUGCUGGCUUCUUAGAGUUGCUCCAUAACCAGGUCCGCCCCUAAUGCCAGGCGUUCCUGCAGGAGGAGGGACAGGCUGAUAGAGAGCUGGCAGACUGGCACCCGGCAAAUGUUGACCAGGGAGCAGGGGAAUCCAGGAUGGCAUGUUGAGUUGUGUAAACGGGGGCAUUGGUUGUUCCUGUUGGAACUGCUGCAUAGUGCAAGUUUGUUGCUGAUUCUGCGGUUGAUGACACUGGCCUGGGAUGAGUGGUGGAGGCAACUGGUUGAGACUGCAGGAUUUUAGGAUCAAAGGGGACUUUUCACAAGCAGGUUGAGAUGAACAAGGAAAUUGGACCCCAUCUUCAGUAUGCUCCUUCGGGGAAGUUGCAUUUUCAAAGUGAAGAGCCGCCGACCGCUGUACUAUUAUUUUGAUUUUGAUGUUCAAUUAGCUGUUCAAGAAUGGAUUCAUUUAUCGGCGUAAAUAACACGAGGAAAUUAAGCAAUCAAGAGUACUAAUAAGUAGUUAUAUUCCUGUAGCAUUAAGGAUCUCAAUAAAAUUAAUUUCAAUGCCAUAAUGCAGGAGGACAGGCACAAAUCAAGUACUUUGACAGUGUCGAAAAAUGAUCUGCAAGAACUGCUGCUUGCUUGAAUAUUCUUUUAGAGGUAACCUUGAAGCACCAAAAGUAAGGGGAAUUGAUCAACUGGGAAAUUAGGGACCGGUACAAUUAUUUGCGGAGUAUUCUGGGGGAAAAAAAAUCAAAUCGGUCCUUCUAUCUCUCUCUCGUUAUCUGGGUACAACUCCCAACACAUGCAGCAAGAAACAAAACAUCAAGACGAAAAAAGAAAAAAGUGAAGAACCAAAAAAAACUUACUAAUGAUUUUUAAGUAUGUUGUGAAAAUAACGGGGAGCCCAGGAGUACUUUUUAGCAGGGAAACUUGCAUAUGAAAAAUCCACCAAAUAAUGGAGUGAGGAGAUGCAUUACCCGUUCUCCAUUGAACCACUAGCAUCUGGAGAGGUAGAGUUUUCAUGUUUUUUCUUUUUAUUCUUCUAAUUCAUGGUUUUUUGCAAAGUGAUUAUUUCUUUCCCUACAUUUUGAGAAAGGGGAGCAAAGGUAUAAGUAAAGAGGGAGUAGAGCAGUGGCCUCCGCCGGUAAAAGCCUGCCGUACAAGUGUACAACAACAAGAGAAGUGGUGCGUUGGAAUUUUAAGCCCCAAAGCCAGAAACAAGGAAAACGUGCGUGGUGCGGGAGCCGGGGAAUUUCUACUUUUGGAGCACCAUUUUCUAAUUUCUACUCCAUUGCCGCCCUGCCGCAAAUUUGUCCUCUGUCUGGUCCAUCACAGCCGUUUUUUUUUUUUUUUUUUUGGGUAAUAAAAGAUUGCAUAAAUAAAAAUUUUAAGUCCGUACAUCACAUAUUUGUUUGGGAUGGAAGGACCCCUUAAAUCACCACACAAAAUAGUUCGUAGCUGAGGAGGACAGUUAUGAUAAGAGUGAAAAAGUCGACAAAAAGAUUUCCAUCCUCAAAUCAUCACAGCCGUUGCAUUUUGCAUCAUUUUGACCUUUCUUCCUCAGCUCAACUGCACGAAGAACGAAUGAGCAUUGUAUUUGACGAUAGCCAUCUUAUUUUACCGGUUAAAGAGUCAAAGAACAAAAAAUAAUAAUAAUAUAAUAAUAAAAGACAGAGCAAGGCAAACACUUGUCGAGUUUUAAAGGUGUUGAAGGCUUGUUUGGGGAGUUAUUAGUGUCAAAAGCUCUUAUUAUUAUUCAGUACUAAUACACAAAGGAUGGUCCUCGAUCUUGGUUUUAAAAUUUCUCAUACAAAUUCUAUUAAUCUUUUUUCUUGUGCACCAAUUUUAAAAGUAUCUGUUGGUGUACAUUAUUACCUUACUCUUGGAAGCCCAUGCGCAUAAAAAAAAAAAAAAUUUUUUUUUUUGGAGCUCAGGCGUUCAACAGUAUCCUCGAAAGAAUUGAUUGUAUAAGAUCAGUAUUUUUGGAGUAGUACUUACGUAGACGAGAUAUAACCAGCAGAGCAGAGAAGAAACCAAAUAAAUAAGAUAAAGAAAUGAUAUAUAUAUAUAUAUAUAUAUGCAGAUAACGUUUCAGUAAUAGAAGGAUUUGAUUUAUUAAACGAUCACAAGAAAAAUUAACGUUAGAGAGUGAAAAUAUCAAGGCAACUAACGAGGUUGAUAAUUCCAUGUGCACUAGAUUCAUGAUUCUCGCAAGACAUAUUGGAAAAGGACGAGAGGGCACUGAUCGAUCGAUCGAGGAUGUUAAAUAGAAGCUAGCAAUUCCGAAAGAGAAGGCCUAUAAUGAUGAGAAGCGUCUGUCAAAUGAGCAAGGACGACUUGCCACCAUAUCAAAAUCAGAAAGGCUUUGAACGUACGCAGGCAGUAGGAGGCAAGUCAUCCUUGUUGGCGAUGAAACCAGAGUCUCCUCCCCAUUUUAGGCCAAUCAGAGUCUUUCUACACAAAAUGUUGAUCCAAUUAAGCCAGAAGAAGUACGUCUAUUUUCUGAACGCAAUUGAUCGAAUUGCUCAAUAUUCAAGACUGUACCUGAGGAGGCGAUUUUUGGUUGGUAACUAGACCGACCUGGAUCAGUCCUCUCUGAGAUGAAGUGAGGUGAACUCCUGUGUCCGAAGUGAACCUCCUUGUCCGAAGUGAGUGGCGGGGCUUCUCCCCUGGUAUCACUCCGACGAUCAAGUUAGUAUGAGAACGAGAAUAAUGAGAAUGAGUUAAUGAACAGUGUAUGCUUACUUGUUGGGAGUGUGAGUGAGGUAUUUAUAGAAGAGAGGUGGUCAAGACGGAAGGCUCAUGCUAGCGGGACCCACUCUCUGGCAUUACGGCUCUGUCUCCUGUCAGGAGGUCUGACUCUGACACUGUAGCCGCCUGGGAGUGAUGACGGAGGAUAUGGUGCAGGUGCCAUUAAGUGCCUCCAGUGCUUUUCAGAUAAAGUGCUGGUCCUGGAUGAUGUCAGGUGGGUUGACAUCAUCAGCGUGCAGCCGAGGUGGAUGUGCCGAGGUCACCUACACGGUGGACUAGGGAUGAAGCCGAGCUCUGGGGUUGUGCUCAAGACAGGGAUGAGCUCCGGUGAGGGACGAGACUUGUGUUCACCUCGGACACCCGCGUGUCCGAGGUGAGCAUCCUCAAUAAGCCCCCCAAGCCUCGGGAGCUUCGGGCCAGGGAGGUACCGAGGCUUCCUUCUGCCGAAGUCGUGAAGAGUCGGUGUCCCGAGCCUACUCCGGAAGGUGCGGGGACGUGACACGUGGGCAUGUCAGUUGAAGGGACCUGGAGAGUGAGUCGGCACGUAACCGUCACGUCGUGAAGUAGUGGGACGUUUCGUGCAGAGAGUGUCAGUUACAACGAGGACUCCAAGGAGUUGUGCGACCGGAUGGCUGAAGGCCUCCAAACUGGAAGGAACCUGGCCGAGGUCCUGGCCGAGUUCAACAAAUGGCUGUCCGAACUCGACGAAGUGUUCGAGGAGGUUGAAGAGGAAGAAACUGGAAGAGAGGAUGCCGAGGGAGACGAAGCCGGAGGGGGCGAAGUCGGAGGGGACGUCGUGCAAAGAGCCUGGAGAUGAAGUUCACCCCGGCGGAAAGGAGACCGAAGAGAAAGAUGCCCAGGAGGGAGCCAAGACCGGGAUUGGAGCCGAUACGGGGAUGUAGGCUCGUAGGCUUUAAAGGGGUGGCCGAGGUGAAAAGUGUUUAGUAGCACUCUGACCUCGGCCUUGUAUUUUUUGUAACACUUCUGUUGAAUGAAAGUCUAUUUCUUCUCAUCUCAGCUCUUUAAUUUCUUGCUUUGCUUUGACUUCAUCCCUUGCUUGUCCCCCUUAUUUUUUGAUAGCGUAAUAACCCUAUUGUUCUCAAGUCGUUAGCCGAGGUGGUAAAACGGGCAGAUACCACCUUGAUUUAUAAUGGGCCGAGGUGGCCCUUCGGGAGGUGCCACUGAGUAAGGUCGAGGUGGCCUUGCGGGAGGUGCCGCUGAUUAAGGCCUAAGUGGCCCUGCGGGAGGUGCCACUGAUUAAGGCGAGGUGGCCCUUCGGGAGGUGCCACUGCACUGAGGAAGGGCCUGCCACUGAGUAAGGCCGAGGUGGCCCUUCGGGAGGUGCCACUGAGGAAGGUCGAGAUGGCCCUUCGGGAGGUGCCACUGAGUAAGGUCUAAGUGGCCCCACUGAUUAAGGCCGAGGUGGCCCUUCGGGAGGUGCCACUGAGGAAGGUCGAGGUGGCCCUCGGGAGGUGCCGCUGAGGAAGGCCGAGGUGGCUCUUCGGGAGGUGCCACUGAGGAAGGCCUGCCACUGAGUAAGGCCUAAGUGGCCCUGCGGGAGGUGCGCUGAGAAGGCCGAGGUGGCCCUUCGGGAGGUGCCACUGAGGAAGGUCGAGGUGGCCCUUCGGGAGGUGCCACUGAGUAAGGCCUAAGUGGCCCUGCGGAGGUGCCACUGAUUAAGGCCGAGGUGGCCCUGCGGGAGGUGCCGCUGAGGAAGGCCGAGGUGGCCCUGCGGCUCAGCUCGGCUGACUGAAUUUUUCCUCAGAACCAAGUCUCCAGGCUGGAAUUGAGCGGUGUCAGCUCAGCGUCCGAGAGUGGACGAUCUUCCUUUCACUAUUCGAUCGAAAACACUCCGGCGGUCCCGGAGUUGGGUUGAAGUGCCACUUGGGCCGAGUUCACCUCGGCCGGUGUCUCCUCCGUGGAUCUGGCCCCGUACGAGAUGCUUGGGCUUCUCGCUUCAUGCGGUUCACAUCCUCACUUCGGAUUCCCUGGUCCACUCUAUCCCAGAGUUCCCGAAGUGUACGGGGGUACUCCCGAUGGAUUUCAGUGUUGAAGAUUCCGCACCAAUCCGUUGGUAAAGGCCGCGAGAGUUACCUGCUCAUUCUGAUCAGGUAUUUGCACAUUCUCCUCGUUGAACCUUUGAGCAUACGAGCGAAGAGACUCGCCCUGACCCUGUUGAAGGUUCAAGAGAUAAGCUGAAGUUUUCGUGAUUGAUCGAGACGACACGAAGCGGUGGAUGAACCGAUCUAUCAGCUCAUCCAGGGAGGAAAUGCUCCCCGGUUCCAAACUCCAGAACCACUUCCGGGCAGUCCCAUGUAGGAAAAUGGGGAAAGCUCGGCAGAUCACAGCGUCGGGACGCAGCAGUAGAGCCGGAAUGCAGAGAUGAAGGCGCGGAGAUGAUCCUCGGGGUCACUUCGGCCGUCAUAGGUGGGCAAGUUUGGAAGCUUGAAGUUCGGGGGUACCAUCUCCCCAUUGAUGUCAUCAGUAAAGGGCGGAGCCCUCAUGUAGUCAGAAGCUAGGCCCCGGGCGCCGAGGUGGGUCCUCAGCUCGUUUCCCCAGCAGUCCCCGAGAAAACGUCCGGGAGAUGGAGGCAAGUUUAGACGUCGCCUUGGAGGAGGCGCGCCUGGAGGUACUUCGAGAGAGUCGCCCCUCAUCUGAGUCUUCACCUGAAGGUACCUCAGGGGACUUCGUCGGCCUCCUCUUGGAGGACUCGGCCUUUUCUUUCCCCUGUCUUUUGAGGUACCUUCCUAGCUCCUCAAAAAUGGUAGGGUUGUGUGAUACGAACUCGGCCAUCUUGGCGAUGGCCUCCUCGUUGUUAGGCUGGGUCCUCGGGGACCCUUGCUCUUCAGAGAUGCGAUCUUGCUGGGCUCCGAGGUCUGCCCAGCCCCAGUUGAGGGAACUCGACCACUUCUGGAGCGCGUGGAUCUCAUUUUAGUAACAGUAGUCUCGUUCCCACAGACGGCGCCAAUUGAGGAGGCGAUUUUUGGUUGGUAACUAGACCGACCUGGAUCAGUCCUCUCUGAGAUGAAGUGAGGUGAACUCCUGUGUCCGAAGUGAACCUCCUUGUCCGAAGUGAGUGGCGGGGCUUCUCCCCUGGUAUCACUCCGACGAUCAAGUUAGUAUGAGAACGAGAAUAAUGAGAAUGAGUUAAUGAACAGUGUAUGCUUACUUGUUGGGAGUGUGAGUGAGGUAUUUAUAGAAGAGAGGUGGUCAAGACGGAAGGCUCAUGCUAGCGGACCCACUCUCUGGCAUUACGGCUCUGUCUCCUGUCAGGAGGUCUGACUCUGACACUGUAGCCGCCUGGGAGUGAUGACGGAGGAUAUGGUGCAGGUGCCAUUAAGUGCCUCCAGUGCUUUUCAGAUAAAGUGCUGGUCCUGGAUGAUGUCAGGUGGGUUGACAUCAUCAGCGUGCAGCCGAGGUGGAUGUGCCGAGGUCACCUACACGGUGGACUAGGGAUGAAGCCGAGCUCUGGGGUUGUGCUCAAGACAGGGAAUGAGCUCCGGUGAGGGACGAGACUUGUGUUCACCUCGGACACCCGCGUGUCCGAGGUGAGCAUCCUCAGUACCCUAAGAAGAAGACAAUAAAAAAAAAAUGCAGGGCUUACGUGAAGCACAAGAGACAUAAAUUAACUAGUGGAGUGCUACGUAACUUGAAGCUGCAUGCCAAGCUACAGGUGAAGAGAGUGCUGCUUCAUGUGAGACCUCCCUUUCAAAUGGGAUUCCAUGAAAUUUUCUUGUGCUUCGAUGAUGAUCAGUUCAUUACAAGUUAAUAUAUAUAUAGAGCUACAGAUCGAAAGGAAGGUGGGGGUCGACGAUCUCGCAGUUUGAGCUCCCCUAACCGAGAUUUUCCUCAAUAAUUAUUAUCCAAUGAAAGAAUAUAUUCUACCUGUGCUACAGGAGAGGAGAGUAGGGGCCCCGACUUAUCUUCUUCAGUCUUCAUCUCUUACAACUUGAUACGAUGGAGAACAGAAUUUCAACGUAAAGAUGCCCUUCGAUCACUUUCUUGCCUCUGCUGCUCUCGUGAAACUUAGAUGUUGGCAACUUGCCCGGAAUCAAUUUCCCUACAAAUCAAAUGCUUAACAGAUUUGUUUCCCCCCCCCCCUUUUUUUUGUUGGAUUAAAGAGGAAAGUAAACGUUAUAAAGAGGAGUACAUAGUAACGCCACUGACACAACAUCUGCUAGGCGACUUAGAGUCAACAUUAAAAUUGUAAUCAACUCCCCAAUGUGCUAAGAAUCAGCACAAUCAAUCAACUCCCCAAGUGUUUUUACAAUAACAUCCCUAAAAAAAAUAUAUAUAUAUAUAUAUAUAUCCCCGAGUGCCAACUUUCACAUUUGAGUGACAUUUUUUCUUAAUAAGAAGAAAAACUACACUGAUAAUCAUAUGUAAAUUAUUUGCAAAUUCAAACUGAAAUUUCUUACGCCAAAAAAUUUAAAAAAAAACACUGAAAAUGCAGAAAUUUGUUAAUAGUAUACAUUCAUGUGAGUCUUGACAACAUUGCGUGUUAAUAUUAUCCAGAUUUUGGCUUUCAGAUAAUUUGUUCGUUUUUUUUUGUCAAAAAUAAAGAACAAAAGAAGGAAAAAGCAAAAUGUUAAUCAGUUUGUUCUCAUUUGCUAUAGUUAAAAGAUUAGACAACUGUUGUGGUUUUGGCGCGGUUGGUUCGAACUUUUCUUUCUUUCUCUUUUUUUUUUUUUUCUUUUGCAUUAAAUUGAAAAACAAACUUUUUUUUUUUCUUUCUAUAAGGGCCUUGCUGUAUGUUGUACACGAAAUUAAGGAACUAAAUUACUAGUAUUACUCAGUUUGUUUCGUUUAUCCUUAGUUGAGAUAUUCCUAGAUAGCAAAGUGAGGAGUAUUUUCAGUUGGAAAUCUAAAUUUUUUUUAACCCUCCCUACACCCUUUCCAUCCUUGCCACUACUACAGCUACCCAAAAUAUGAUCGAUCUUCUGAUCGAGAACACCAUUUCUUAUCAAGAUCGUUCUGAGUUCCCUUGGUCUUCCUUGUACCAUUCUAAGAUGCAUCUACAUAUAUCUUAAUGUAUAAUUAGCAACAGCCUUCAAGACUUCAAUGGCUGAGUUGACAAAAGAUUGAAAGCUUGCUGCUUUUGUUGCCCUGCUGGUCUUCUAAGCUGGCCAGAAAGGGUGUCUUGACAAAAUCAUCAAGAAGCCAGAAAAAAGUUCGUCAUCCCUUGGCAUAGCACCUCAUAAAUUAGUACACAAUGUCUGAAUUUUCUUCAGGCCUUAGGAGAGGAGUACUAAAAGCCAACCAAAAAGUCAUAAAUUUAACCGAUGGUUACUUGAUUCCUCGUCAGACUUACACAAGAGCAAUAGACGCUUAUUGAUUUUCUCCGGGAAAACAGAUCACAUGUUUUUCAUGUUAUUCGAUUUGGAAUGAUAUUCCAUUAAGUCAGAGUUUGAGUCUUGCUGAUCAAAAUCGUCGACUAAGGUAUUUUUAAGGUUAUGGACAAGAAAAAAUACAGGCUAGUUUUUGCUUUGAUGUUGUAGAACUAAACUUGUACACUAGUUUUUCUUCAAGAAAGCCAAUGAGAUUAAAAUGGCACUGCCUUUAGAGAGAGUAACUAAGUACCAGGUUUCAGCAUUGUCAAGGAGUGAUGUACUGUUGUGACUAGAGCAUAUUUGUCUCUUUAGAGAAUAACAAGGAUUAAUUCCAUUUUGCAUCCUUCAACUAUACCCAAAUUCUUUAAAAAAAAAAAAAAAGCCUAUACCCGAAUUCUUACUUUGAUACCUGAACUUCAAAUGGAAUGCUUUAGUCUCUAAAGUAUAAAAUUUGUCACAUUUUAGUUCAAAAGAAGAAAACCUAUCCUAUUUUAUUUCUUUAAAUACAAAGUCAGUCCACUUUAGUUUCUUAAAUUAUAAAAUCUAUACAAUUAAAUAUAAAAUUUGUUCCAUUUCUCUCAACGAUUUUGCUUAAGUGGGACAAAUUUUAUGUUUUAGCGAUCAAGUUUUUAAUUUUAAAAUUUAGGGAUCGAUGUGUACAUCUCAUUACUUGAGAGGUGGAAAGUGAAAUUAACCCAAAAAAAUAACGAUGCAAUCAUCAUCUGGCAAGUUGGUCGUGAGUACGUGACGUAGCGUUCAUAUAAAUAUGGUAACCUGAUUACAGCUAGUUCAGGAAGUCGCCCCAAAAAGAAAAGAUGAACAAAUUAAUGAGCAUGUAUUUGAUAACUACAAGAAUCUGAUCCAAAGCGCAAAACAAAAUUACAGGUAGAGAAUGAAAACUUCCAUAUUUUAACUCAGCGCUCGAGAACUUUAUAUUCAUCGUUAAAGAAAAAACUUUAUAUUCAUCUAUCCAAAACCUAUAACAUCAAUGGAUUCUUUUUCUCUUAGUCCAGGAGGGGAUUACCGAAUCGGCUUGAUGGAGGGUGCCAGGUAGUAAAAAUUCUGAAAGAGAAUGCCAAGAAUGACGAGGAAAGCCUGUCAAGUAGCCGGACGACUCGCCUGCAAAUCCAUUAAUGAAGAAUUUACACUUGUACAUGGAUGGAUCUUGAAGGAUGAAGAGGCAAGCCAUCCUUGGCUACGAAACAGGACUCUCAGCCCCAUUCCAGGCAUUUCUUUCUAUAAAAUGUUAACCUCGAAUUAUAUCGAAAAGGUAUACAAGUGCACUCUUGACUGAUAACGAUCCCCGAUAACUCAACGGAAAAGGGGUCUUGCGUGAAGAAAAAGAGACAUAUUAGUCAAGUGGCCGCCAAGGCCAAACAGCACGAGGCUUCUUCACGUAAGACCUCACUUUGGAAUUAUUGAGUUGGUCUUUUUCUUGUAUAUAUGCUGAUGAUCGUCUGUUUCAAGUGUCUAUUUAUAGCGACAGAAAAUGAAAGAUGAGAGGCUUCGGAAUUAGAUGAUGCGCAAGUUAGAGCUAGCUUGCUUCCCUAGCAAAGUAACUUUCUUCACUAUUAUUUUCGUGAAAGAAUAAAUUCUCUUCCUGUUUCAGGGGUGCAGAGGACCCCAACUUAUCUAGUACCUCAUGUUCGUACAGCUGAAAGAUGAUAGGAGAGCUAGCCGAAUUUCAACGUAAAAGUCCCAUUAAUUCGCACGUUUUGUUGGCAACUUGCACCGAAUCAUUGCAAUAAGUGCAAUGAAUUUCCUUUUCCAUAUCUGGUCAAUGUUCAGUAGAAUCAUUGCAAUUAGCGCAUGGCUUGAAACCUGGGACCUCUUCAAAACCCGAGCAGCCAAAUAAGAGCCGGGGGGGGGAGGGGGGGUGGGUUUUUUUGGUGUAACUUUUCUUCCUUCGGCUAGUUCACUAAGUAAUGUGUAGGAUCAAACCAUGAUAUUAUCUGCUGUCAAAUUCCCAGUCACCCAGUUAUAUAACUUCUCAAUGUCCUGGACAUAUUACUGGCACUUGCAAAGUCACACUAAAGCCUUUCUACCCAAGAAAAAGAAAACUAAAGCUUUUCUUUUUCUUUUCGCUUUUUCCACUAAAGUUCAUGUUAAGGAAGAAUUUCAGUUGAAGGAAGAAAAUUCAGCAAAGCAGUAGCGUUAACUCGGAUGGCAAAGUCGUUCAUUUUUUAUUAUUUCGGUGAAAUGUCAGUCAUUUGUGAACUUUUGGAGUUUGGACUUUUUUUUUUUUUUUUUGGUAAAUAAAGAUGCAUUAAAAAUAAAAUCAAGUCAACAGAGUGCAAAUUAAGGUACAGUCAUCCGUGGGAGGAAACCCCCUUUAAGUCUUGCAAAAGUAAGGGAAGUACAAAAUUAGGACAUAAUUCAAAAAAAGUGAAGUCUUGAGUGUUGCUUCUUCCCCAGUUGGCAAGGAUGUCUGCACAUUUGUUUGCUUCUCUAUAAUUAUGGUGAAAACAUACUUUCUGGAAUGUAGUCAAUAGCUCCCUGCAAUCAAGAAUAAUAGGUGCAAGUUCAUGAGAAAUAAGAUUAUUUGACUUACACAAGGAGAAUAUAAAGGCAGAGUCCAUCUCCACUUCGAGAGAGUGGAUGUUGAGAUUUUUCGCAAGUUGUAAGCCUUCUCUAAGAGCCCAACAUUCAGCAGAAGGAACUGAACAGAAGCCUAAAUUUCUUGCAAAGCCCGCAAUCCAUAUCCCAUUUGAGUCACGAAUUAUGCCACCAGCUCCUGCCUGGUUUGUUGGUCCAGAGACUGAACCAUCAGUAUUGAGCUUGGCGAAACCUAUAGCAGGGGGGGAUCCAUCUGAUGAAUUUUUCUUGUCUAGGGGAUCUGGAGAUAUGAGAACCAGGCCCUAGUAGGUAAAAUUCAUGAGCAUGGUGAAGACAAAACUUGAUAGGAUCAUCAAUUUUGUUUUUUUGAAAGAUCUUGGCAUUGCGAGCUUGCCAGAGGCUCCAACAACCAAAGCUAAAAAUGGUUCCCCAAGGAAUAAGGUUGAAAGGGGAAGGAAUGUUGGACGAGCAUCCAUCCUUGAUCCAGGAAUAGAAAUCCGAGCUGGUUUGGAGGGAGUUUUGGGAGGAUGGGUGAGUUUAAGCCAGAAGGAGGUUGCUUGGGGACAAGAUCUUAGUAUGUGAUUCGAAUCUUCAGAAGGAGCUUGACAAAAAGGGCAAGAGGCUUCGGAAAGAAUUGUGCGAUGUGUGAGAAGACUUUUUGAAGGGAGUCUAUCCUGGGAUGCUAGCCAAAGGAAAUGCUUGACUUUUGAGGAGUAUUAACUUUCCAAAUCCAGCGAAAAUGGGAUGGAGCUCUAGAAUCAACUGGAAAUAAGGGAGGAUUUUUGCAAAGGUUAUAAGCAGAUUUCGAGUUGAAAACCCCAUUGCUGGAGUAAUUCCACCUAAAGAAAUCAUGGGAUGGAUUGAGCUCUUGUCUUGGUGUACCCUUGAUCUCCUUCACGAGCUGGAGAGGAAGCUGGAAGGAUAUUCUAUCAAGGUUCCAACUGGUGGGGAGUGAAAAAGUUGAAAAACUCUUAAGUCCUCUUCCCCCUCAGUUAGAGGUCCUUGGAUCUGGCUUCUGAUAGAGCCUGAUUGAAGCCAUUUGUCUCCCCAAAAUCUGACUAAAUGCCCAUCUCUGAUAGACCAAAUUAAACCUUCAUUGAAGGUUUUGAUCCCAAUGUUGGAGUUUGGACUGUUGAAGCCUGUCGAUGCGGUUGGAUUUGCAACGUUGUGAGUUUGUUUGGACAAAGAUAAUUUGAUUUGCAAAAUUUAUUCUCACAAAUCCCAAUCACCUUUUUAUCUCACAUACAUCACAUCACAAAAAGUGCUACAGUAAAUAUCUCAAAUAAAUCAUCCAAAUAAACUCUUAUCCAAACAAACUCGUGCUUCUUUUUCUUUUUCUUUUUUCUUUACAUGCUUCGUUGAGAUUAUCAGAUAAAAUUCUCUUAAUUUGCUUUUUUAAUUAGCUGGGUUGACUUUAGAUUAGACUAUACCCAACUUUACCCAGUGGGUCUGAACGUUCACAUAAGUGCUGCUAUGCCUGCAGUCCUUUGCAUAAAUAAAACUGACAAUACGAAUCACGUCUGUUUUCUUUUCUCUCUGCCUGCUUUAUCACUGGAUUUUAUCCUAACUUUAGGUGGGCUUGAUUCGUAUUAGAUUGGAGCGAUAAUGAGAUGUAUUCGAUAUUCUGUACCAAUAAAGAAGGUUAUACUGCAACAAUAGACACCUCAGCUGAUCUCUCGUUUCUAUUUCCCUAAUUCAUGCUUCUAGACGUCGUUGACUAUGGGGGCAUCCUGUCCUGUCCUGUCCAGUUAGUUUCCGGUUAAACCUCUCUGAUUCUAGCUCAAUCUUCAUGCAUUAUUAUUAAGUACGAUUGCAGUUGGAGAAAGUUCUAUAACAAAUUCUCAGUCAUCAAGAUGAUUUUAACAAUUCACUUGAUAAAAUCAAGAAAAUUUUCUAAGAUUUUAGAUGGGGCAAAAUAGCGGCUGUAAAUGAAAUUACCAGAAGUCCUUCGGGUUAAAAAGCAUUAGCCAAAACUUGGGGCCGGCUGCUACCAACUCCUGCCGCAGUGGAUGUGUUUAUUUUGUGGUAACUGUCAGUUCUAGGAACGCUGGUCCGCGGGCCUUGCCUCAAAUGACUCCUUCAUAUUGUUUUGAGCCGUCAUCAAUAGUUUGAUUCGCCAACCAACCCAUUAAUUGGGAUCGUUCAUGCCUGAAUUCCAGACACCUCUAUGCCUGUCGACAUGCUUGCCAAGGUAGACGGAGAUGGAAUUCCUUCGAAGCACCGUAUCAAAGAGUGUGACAGCAUCAUGCAGAGACAGCCGCGCCGAAAAUGCGAGUGGAACAAAUACCCAGCUUUAGCACUACUACAUGCAUUUGUCUCGAUCAAAAGAGUAGAGAUUUUACAGCAAUCCAACUCUGGUACUGAAUCUUCUAGUAUUACAAUUUUCAGUGCUUCUAUCUACCUUUCUAAUUCACAGCGUACAGAAGUAGAGCUAGUCAACUUUUAGCACUUGCUACUGAAUAGUUUCUAGGACUUUUUAGACAUUGUCAAGCAUCUGCUUAGUGCUAUCCAGUUGGUAU